rnacentral:lncRNA from 1 species
UUUACCAAACAAUACCUCCAUAUCUUCAAGGGUUCGGCCCUGUGUCUCUGGGUACAACAUAUAAAAGAAGACCCAACCAACCGCAGCAAUUCCCGCGUAAAGAAAGAAGGCUCCCCCAAUCGUGAUGGCCUUAUACAAUGAAAUAAAAGUCAUGGAGAUGACCCCACUCGUCACCCUAUUUACGGCCACUCCCAUACUACACCCUUGCGCGCGCAGCUGCAGUGGGAAGAUCUCGGAGCUGUAGACCCAUGUAAUCGGCCCCAGCCCGAUGGAGAAAAACGCAACGUUAAGUAAUACCAUGGUGAUGCACAACACGAUGGCCCACAUGAUCUUUCCGUGCUGUUGAUCAACGAUCGUAAGGCUUGCACCGAGACAGCUAAGUGAAAAUACCAUUCCAGCCACGCUAGUCAAAAGCAAAGGACGCCUUCCAAACUUAUCAAGGAAAACCGUGGCGACUAAGAUGCAAAUAGUCUUGACAACUCCAACAGCCACCGUUGCGAGCAGCUUGUGAUCGUAGGAGGUGAUUCCUGCCUUUUCGAAGAUCCUGGGGCUGUACAAAACGACAGAGUCUAUACCUGACGAUUGUUCAAAGAAGUGGAUACCAAGAGCUGCGAUUAAAAUAUGGCGAACGGCUGGUGUGGGAUGAAGGAGCAAUUCUUUCCACACGCCUUCACCGUGGCUGCGUUUAGAUACCUGAACAACGUCGUCGUUGGACUCUUUGGGGAUUCCUGCGGCUUCUUUGAUGUCAUCUAGUCUGAGCUGACACUCUUCUAUGGAUUCUGAGGUUUUUUGUAGAACUCGCUUGGCGUCUCCAAGUCGCCCUUGCAUGACGAGCCAACGAGGUGACUCGGGCAUGGCUAAGACACCGACGGCAAGAAUAACAGAUGGAAAUGCGCCGACACCGAGCAUGAUCCUCCAGUUCAAGUGAAUGGGGAGCUUGGAGAAGGCAUAGUUGGAUACGUACCCCAGUAAUAUGCCAAUAUUAACAAACACCUACACAUUUGCAAAACAAAUCGAAUCCAUAAAUAUGAAGCAGAUCUUUGAAGAAAAAAGAUUCACGUGAAAUGUUUGAGGUCUGCACCUUUUUAUCUGUCCAACCUCACAGCAAACAUAAAUUUUACCUUUUAACAGUGUAGUAUGAUGUUCACAACAUAAAAUUCAAACUUGUUACAGUAAUACUAUGUCAUUAUAUUUUAUUUACUAACCUGAACAUUAUUAUAUGAUAUUGGAGUGUAAACUUUGAUUACUAUAGUGUAAUCUCACAUUUCUUGUAAUUCAGACGUUUAAUGUUAAUUUCAAGUUGCAACACAAUUAAACGUGAAGGCAAGGAGCCCAAAAAUGAAUAAUGAUUAUAAUAUUCUAUGAAGUUUAUUAACAAUAACUUAAUUAGCAUUACCCAUAAAUAAAUGUCUACUUGAAAAAUACAUAAUCGUAUUGGAAUACAUAAUGCAAAAUAGAAUGAUAUAUAAAUUAUGAAGUGUUGGAACAUAUUGAAAAUAUUGUGAAUAAGCAUAUAAUUAGUAUUUAUCGAAGAAUCCAACAAGUCUCUUAUAAUUUAUUAAAAAAAAAUGUAAAAUAGAAGUUAUCUAUUUUUUGUCUAUAUGAGAGUCGUGACUUAUGCGGUCAUCUAGGCACAUUUUUUUAUUUUUUAAACCUCUAGAAAUUAAUCGUGGCAAUGGUCAACAAUGCUUAAGUGGGACAUUUUAGAACAUUGAUAUAUAGUGUUUCCAAUGAUUUUUUGACAAACGCUUCUGAGACUUUAUUAUAUGAUAACAUAAUAUUGUAAUGUGACAAACCUCGGGAAAAGAUGUGAGGAAGCCACGAAACGAGGCCGGAGAGAUCUCGGCAGUGUAGACGGGAGCUAUCAUAAGAGCGUAGCCAACUCCAACUCCGGCAACAAAUCGCCCGAACAUGAGGAAGGCGUAGUUAGGGGCAAAGCCCAUGAGGAGAGCUCCAAUAAAGAAGAUUGUUCCGGCAAGUACUAUGGUGUACCGGCGUCCAAUCCAGUCGGAGGUUCUACCAGCCAAGGCGGAGCCAAUAAGGGAGUAGAGGUUCAAAGUACCGUUCAUAAUUUCGACUUGAACAUCACUGAUUUUGAGGUUUUCUUUAAUGAAGAGUGACGCUCCACUCAUUACACCAAUAUCUGUACAUAAAAGUGGAACAAACAUGCAUUCCAUGUGAAGAUAACUUUCUUUCAAAGUAGAAAAGUACUAAAAAUUUCAAAAGAAAAAAAUUACAACUUUAAAUUUUCUUCUCUAGUGUUCUUUAAAGUAGAAAAAAAAGGUAAAGCUGUUUUUAAAAGUUUCUCCAAAUUAGUCAAUAAGCACUCUUCUCGUUUAUCUAGCUUGUUUCAUAAGAUAUAUGUUUUUAGGGAACUACAGAAGAAUAUUCGACAAUUACCAUAACCAAGUAAGAUUGAAGUCAUUGAAGCCAAAACGCCACAGGCAAUGGCAAACUUCUUUGUCUUGGCUUUCUUUGGGGGAUCAAAGUCUGCGAUACUCGUGUUUUGGGCUUGGCCGGUGAUGGUCUUAUCUUCAGCUCUCCGGUCAGUCAUCUCCAUCUUUAAUGAUAGACGUAGAAUAAAAUAAAUAGAGAGAUAGGUAAAUAAAGGGGAGAGAGAGAGAGCGAGAGAGAGAGAGGGAGAGAGGGGGGGAGAGAGAUCAGUUAUAUUUAGAGAGCAAUAGAAAGAUCACUUAUCAUAGAGAGAAACAGAAAGUUACUUAUCAAAGAGAGAACUACAUAUUGCUUGAGCUACAAGUGGAGUUCUGUUUAUAUAGAUUUUAUCCAUUGGUCGAAAUACUGUUGAUUGGCAAAACAAACACCACUUUUCAUUUGUUACAUAGCACGUACUGUGACAGUAUACCUGUACUAUAUAAGUCCAUCCUCAUUUGUGAGCCGAUCCGGGAUAGGAAUGUGUUAUUGUCGAAGAACAUAAUAAUCUGGCCAGUUCUUUACCAUCCAAUCAGGUCACGACAAGCAAAACGUUAUCUUUACCUGGUAAGAAUCACGCUACUAAUUGAUUACAUCGAAUAAGAAUCCACAAAGUAGCAAAAUCUGUUGGAUAAUGAAUAUGGUUCCCUAAUUAAAGCCGUCUACAGAGUUCGCUCACUACACGCCAAAACUAUGGUAACAAUUGCGUUAACUUCUUUUCAUUGGUAAUAAAUUACCAAAAGUUAACUAAACUAGUACGUGCGAUUUGGUUUCGUUCAACUUCCAAAAGUCUUGAGUUAAAACCAUGUCAAACUGAAAUGUAACUCUCGGUGAUUGGUUUGACCUUCAGUGUGCCAUAUUAAACUAUGAACAUUAUCUAAGAAUGGAUAUAAUUUUCCAUAUCCAUUCUUAGGUAAUGAGAGAAAAUAAAAAAUAAGAUGAGAUAAAAUAAAUUAAUGUCAUUUAAAAUGAAGACCUACAUAUGAUUGGUUUAGAAAAUCGGAUGGAAAUUGAUCUCAAAACCAAAUCGCACGCUACAGAGAUUGGUUUGGUUUAGUUGUGGAUAUGUGGUCUACUAGCUAGUUUGAGGUCUAAACCAAAAUAACUCCAUAUGUAAAAUCUUAUUACUUUGACAUGUGGUUUAGGUCCUAAACUGAACCAAAUUGUACCGUGCACACCCCUACUCCAAAUAGUUUGAAAAUCACUUCAAGUUAGUGAUUUUAUAUAAUUUUUUUUGGUCAAAUGGUAAUAUUAUUAGAAAGAAAAAAGUCAAUAGCCACUUACAACAUGAUUAUGUAAUAACUAAAACAAUUUAACCCAAGAAAACAGGAACAGACAAAGGCGGCCAAGCGAAUUAAACAAACAGAUGAGAAAGCAGUUCCAAUGGUUAAUGGAGCCAUUUUAUAGGACCACUAGUGAUUGAGCCAUGGCACAGGUCCCUGGUUAAUAUGAAACUCUAAAGUAACCUGAGUUGAUUUUAUUUUUCUUUAAGGAUUGAGGUCCUAGUCCCUGCAUAAAGCGGGAGUCUUGUGCACUGGGUACGACCUUUUUUUUUAUUGAGGUCCCAGUCGUAAAGCAAAUCAUUAAAUCUCCAUUACGUAGGCCGGCAACAUUCUUCAUUGGUUCUCCAUCGAUAGUUCCUCAUCUGAGUUUGGACAACUGCAGAAAGGGAAUUGAUAGUUGAAAGUUUAACUUCAGUUCAAUGAAAUAAAGUAUCGUUGCUAUUGGCUUUGGCAUCAUAUAUAAAAGCCUGCCCCUUGGUACCAAAGGCCAAGUUUUCACCUUGAUGUCGGAAGUUCUCCUUUUGUGAAGAGCACUCUUGUUUGGCCUUUGUGGCUUUAUGAAGUCUUUUAUUCUUUUAGUACAAAAACGAUAUUACAACCCUAAAUAUUAAAUUGUGGAAAAUGAGGUUUUAAACUUGAGACAUAGUGAGUGAAAAAGAAACAGUCUAAGGAGAUUUCACCCCACCUAUAAGUAUCAAGAUCAAAGAAAUAAUAAUAUUUCCAGUUGUACGUACCAUGCCUUUUUUUUAUUUGACUUUCAGAUCAUAUUCUUAUAACUACGCUUUUGAGGUAGGGUUGGGAGUGGUAGGUUUAAUAUUCCAUAUUCUCUCGUAAGAUAAUAAAAGUAGAAACAAAUUGUUACUCUGCUACUACUAUGACAUUGUGAUACCUUCACCUAAUAAUUUAAUGACAAAGAUCAUUGGUUUCUCACAUGCUUUGAAAUAUUUGCGUAUGAUUUAGGUAAUUUUCUUGUGAAUCACGUAAUUGACCUUGUGAGAGAAAAUAUAAACAGAUAAGAGAGAAAGUACAUUUCGGAAGAAGACUCUAACAGCCCCUUAUUCAAAAAUAAAAUAAAAUUCAAGUACAUUAAUUGUCUCUCUUCUUUGUUUUUAUGAAUAUUGGUUUUUAGAUGUGUGUGAGCACAUAUCAAUAGACUUUUGUUUAUUUUCAUUUUACCCUUAUCCAAUACAGAAUUUUUGUUUGGCAUGAAAUUUCAUUUCCUUUUUGUUUUGAUCCCUUAAAAAUGAAGCAGUUGUGGUAUUAACUUUUUUACUAAGGAUAAUUUUGGGUUAUUAAAAUAUUUAACAGUGAAGCCUUAUCAGACAUGCGUUAUUUUAGUGAUGUUUAGUGGAAUAUUGGCAUUGUCAAAGGAAGAAAUGAGUACAAAGAUACUUUAGCUGAAAUUAAAGAAGAAGAAUAGAAAGUUAAAAACAGUAGAGUCGUGCGUAUAAUUUAAAGGAAAUCAUCAUUAAUCGCACCACGCGAAACCCCCACUUCUCCACUUAGUCCCCACGAAUUUGAACUCCAACUCUUGAUGAACACGACCAAAUCAAAAGUAGCUCAAUGCCGGCAAAAUUUUCUUCUUAAGUGAGGGUUGCAAUCAUUUUCAUGAGGGUGGUAUGUCUUAACCUCGAAUGCCACUUUUGCUACAGUGAUUUAGCGCAGAGUAUUGUUGGUCCUACAAAUUACACAAUUUAUGUGGCACACAGACCGAACAACUAAGAAGUUAAUUAAGUUUUUUUUAUGAUUAAUUGUUGAUGCGGGUUUGCCAAUUUUCUACCGAGUUCGGUUGGACGAAUAUUUCUAAAUGUGGUGAAUGUGGUGGAUCGUGCACCGACUCCUGAAUCAAGUGACUUUGGGUGAGGAAGGAACACCCUCAUUUUUUAGCACCAUGAAGUUUUGGAUCUUGUGCACCGGGUUCAACAGCCUUGACUAUAUUGGUGAGAAUAUAGGUCCGCUGAAUCGGUAUCAAAUUUUAGGGACAAAGACGCUCAAAGGAAAUGAGUGUUUUAUUAUAAAAGGGGUUGGACAAUCUAAAUGUCAAAUGCUGAACGUGACCUCUUUCCGCGAAGGCUAAUAAAGUGACCUCUUUCAGUGAAAGAAUCAAAGACACUUCGCUGAAUAUUCACUUGAGCUUGAGAAUCUCGUCGUCUAACCAGGCAAUCAAGACUGUUAAUCCAAACUAAUUCUACAACUCCGGUGUCGUCUAACCAGGUUGUUGUCUUUCCUGGUUGCCUAUGGAAAACCUCAUCUAACCCGGCAAUGGUUGUCUGUUGGCUGCAAACCCAAAUCUAUGUAACUAGACCGUAUUCAUGCUGACAGUUAGUAAAACAGUUAGUGUUUUUCUCAAAAUGGAUUAGAGGGUUUGCUAGAGCAUUGACUUGUGUGUUGAGUUCCACCGAAAAUGCCAUAUUUUAUAGGCAAUUAUCUGGUGUUUGUCAAGACUUAUCCUAAAAUUCAACGGCAAUGCAUGUUAGCCAUGUAUUCAGUCAAAACCACGUGAAACCAACAUCCUCUUAACGGUACGGCUCUUUAGAACAGUUGCAUGCAUCAGCCAAUUAGAAAGUUUAUGCUUUGAUGCACCACUGAUUCCAUAUUAACACCACAAUUAUAAACCGCUUCCAAACAAUCCCAUCCAACUCAAUUUGAGUUAUACCAAUAUGUUUAAAUCAAAUGUGAUUGUAUUCAAAUAUCCUGUCCAAGUAACUGUUAAUAAAAUAUCAAAGAUAAUUUCAAUUAUUCGGAAGCUAAAUUUAUGGUUAUCAAAAUUAUUAUAAUAAAAAAUAAUUGAAAAUCACCUUAAUCUUUCAUUCAUCUAACAACUUAAAGUAUAUGGUCCGAGCGUGUGUAAAACUGGGCACCAAUCAGUACAUACAUUUGUGAAAGAUGGCAAACUAACCUAACUUCGCCCACUACCAAUUGGUGAAAAGCAUGAUUCCACUAAAUCACAACUUUGGUAGGUGUCAAAUUCCUGGACACAGUGCAUGCUUCUUAGGGCAAAGAACAUGUGCUUGCAUGCUUUGCUUGCUGUCUAAUCAGAUGCCCAUGAUGUUCUUGGGAAAAUGUGACUUGAUUUAUAUUCUAGCAGCACCGAAUUAUUAUAUCACCAUGUGUACAACAAUAUGUGAAUCUAUAUGGACAUAAAUGAUUUUUCUACAUUAUCAUUCUUUCUGCACAUUUAAAAAAAAAAAUAAAAACAAAAAUAUCUAGAAAAACAGAAAAAGAAAAAUAGUGUGUGAAAAUUAUUUUAACAAGUCGUGUAAAUUUAUUACUAAAGUCUGGGUGGGAAACUUUAGCUUGACAUCAAACAUAAGUGGUGGUUCUCGCAUGAAGCACUUCAAGUGCUUUUAUAACUUAAAAUCAUUUUCUUUAAACGCAUUUUCAUUCAUUUUAAAAGCACUUUCAAACAAGUUAUACAUAACUUUUUACUAGCACUGUCAGAUCCAUUAAGGGGCAAGGGGGGUCAGCUGACCCCCCGAACUUCGAUGAACGUCCAUAGAUACCUUAGAUGCUGACCCUCCGAACUUCGGUGAAUGUCCAUGGAUACCUUGAGUGUUGCCCUUUAGAAGAUUAGAGUUGGCUUCAUACUUGCCCUCCAACUGACUUCAGGCCUACCAAAACCUGAUGAAUGUCCAUGAAUACCUUGGGUGCUACCACUUGCAUACAUUAACAUGUCUGUAGUAUGCAUUUUCAGAUAACUUUAGGCCUACCAAAACUCGAUGAAAUGGCAAUAUACAUGCUAUUUCUGGUAUAAAAAACCAUUUCGCGUUGCGCACGCUAUUCUUACUGACCCCUCUAAUAUUAUUUCCUAGAUUCGCCACUAUUUACUAGUAACUGUUGAGGGAGAGAGGAGUGCGGCAAGCAAGAGAGAGAGAGAGAGAGAGAGAGAGAGAAAAAGAGAGUUUGGUGUAAUUUUAAGGUGUAUAUUACCUCACCUCAUUGUGCCUCAAUUUAUCAUAGUAGGGAAGGUAAGUUCCUUACCUAAUAGGUAUUACAACUUAAACAUGAUACUAUGUAAAAAAUAUAGUAGAAUCCCGUAAUGAUUUCCUAAGAUUUACGCAAUCACAUUCCUAACCUAAUUAAGACAACAACAAUUCCUUCAUUUUUUUUAUUUUUUAGUUUUAAUUUUCUGUUACAUGAGAUAAAUUAUGGUGGGAGAGAUGAUCUAGAUGAGUAAAUAUAUAUGGAAUGAUACACAAAUAAAACAUCACAUAAGUUUAGCUUAUGAGGUCGUUGGAACAACAGACGAAUGCGAAUCUUGUGGGACCAUGAUUUUCCAAGACUGGAAUAAGGCAGACCGGAAUACAAGUACCUCAAAAGUUCGAUCAUGGACUCAACAUCUUCGAGCGUAGUUGGAUUAACAGAGUAGUGGUGCCACCAUCAUCCUAUUAUGGAGCAGUGGGUGAAAUCAAAACGCCUUCAUCGAGAUUGACCAUGCUUGUUCUGCAAGAUACGAAAACCCGAUCCAACACAAAAUAAGCCAAAUUUUCUAUAUUGUUUGAGUUCCUAUAAUCUAGGAAUUGGCAUGCGCCACAAGUAAUCACACUCCCAAGGAAAUGCAAUAUCACUCCUAAAUGUCCUCUGGGAUUCUCCCGGUUUAAUACAAGAUUCUAUCAUAAAAAGGUCUCUCUCUCGACUAGUAUAAUUACACCAUUCUAGGGUUCAUCUCUAAUAACGCAAUUAUCGCACUCUAACUCUUUUACCCACUACUUAAGUCUUAAUAUUGCUUACUAACUUGACCGUCGGAGAGCCUUUGACUGGCACACACACCCAUCCUCCAAUCUUUGGCUUGCUCAUGGUUGUUUUCUCUGUUAAUGCACAAAAUCAGUGAGGACUUUGGUACAACAGAAAUUGUUAAGUUUGUGACCUUCGCUAGAUUUCUCCGGUCACUAGUAUGGAUAAGUAUGUAAAUGGAUAGAGACAGGGAACCAAACACAAGAUGUACGUGGUUCACCCAGAUUGGCUACAUCCACGGAGUAGAGGAAUUCUCAUUAAUUGUGAAAGGUUUACACAAGUACAUAAGUUCAAGCUCUCCUUUUGUGAGUACUAGUGAAUGAUUUAGUACAAAUGACAUUAGGAAAUAUUGUGAGAGAAUGAUCUCUCUUUAUAGAAGAGUUUCUAGUUUCUUUCUGACAUUAACACGUGUCGUGUUGUGAUUGGCUUAUGAUGUUGACACAUGUCGCGCUAUGAUUGGCUUCUAAUGUCGACACAUGUCGCGCUGUGAUUAGCCUCCUGGUUGGAGGGAAAUUCUUCUGGGUCCUUAACGAUAUAAAGUUGACCGGUGCUCAGUAGUUCCGGGAUUGGUCAAGUAUGGUACAAACAGUGCUCCCCUAAGUUCCCAAGUGAGGGAAGCUCCUCGGUUGGGGACUUGCCAGAUCCAAGCCAUUGAGUAAUCACGAAACUUCUAAGUACCGAAGUGUGGUAUCAUUUUCACUUGCCUUAUCUACCUCAUAUGUAGAUGUGGCAUCUUCUCUGGAAGUACUUUUCCUCCAUCCAGGGAUGGUAUCUUUAACCGAUGAAAAUGCACAAGGUAAUGUAUCAAUUUCACUUGAAGAUUACUUAUAGUUUCGGGCUUGGUCAAGUGCGAUACAAACCCUAUAGUAAGAGUCCCCCAAGUCGCCGAGCUAGGAGAUUUGCCGAAGGAGGUAACAGACAAGGUAAGCAAUCAGACUUCCAAGCAAGCAACCUGGAUCGGAGGUUCAACUUCGGCUUCCAGUUGAUUGUUCUCCUUCUCCUUGUGUCGUAAACAGCAACCAGGAUAAGGAGAAGCAAAUGGAGAAGAGAUGAUAUGAGAUAUUUUUCCUUUUGAAGUUGUAACUUUCCACAGGCUUAUUCUUGAACUGGGCUGGAGGGUUUUCUGGUUUCCUCCAGAGUAUAAGGCCGACUCAAGAAUUUGAGGGUGAAAACAAGUCCAUCAAAUCUAGAGUACGUUCGACCUUAAUGAUAUGGGAUAGUUUUGCUGUCGACAAAGUAGUGGGUGUGGUAUGGCGAGGCUUUGCUUUUUGGAGAUGGUGUCAGCGAAAGGUUGUUGAAGCUUCUUGAGUUCUUCGGAUAGGGCAGCAAUGCUGGGUUUCGAUUUGAUUUAGACUCCUCUAUCUGGGUUAUGUGGUUCUGCAGGAAGGGCAUCAUGCUAUAGUGAUCUAUUUCAGCUCAUCAUUGAUCCUUCUGCUUCAAUUUCUUACAGCAUUUGUCCCCGAUGCAGGAGUGGAAUGCAACCUUUGCAUUUAAUGGUCCUUCAGAGCACUACUUCUCAGCGACUCAUCCAUGCGUGGCAACUUCAGUGUAAAGCGUCAAUAUCGUAUCAACUAUUCUAAGGUAUUUACCGAAGGACUUCGUGACCUUGACAACAGUUGAGGAUGAGUACUCGAGAGCAAUGUUAGGCAAACAACCAUGCAAAGAUUCCUGGCAAUCAGUUCCAGAUCAGAAGUUUGAUUUCAGGUUCCGACUGAUUGCUUUUUUUCUCCUUGUCCUGCAGGUAAGAGCAAGAGCAAAGGAAAAGGCAUGGAAAAAGCAUGAUAUGGGAUACUCUUGCUUUUAACCCUGAUGAUAUGAGAUACUCUUGCUCUGGUGUGGCUGGUUUGCAUAGGUAUUAUUGAAAGAGGAAGAAAGUUAAGUAUUUUGAGAGGCUUCGUUGGGAGUGUCCUCUCAAAUAUAAGGAAGGGUUGAGCAUUUUUACAGGUCUCCCUGUCUGUGGAGAAUGGAGGUUGACAUGUAUAGGAGUCUCCCUAACAACAAAUAGUAAUGCUAUUCCUUUACCCUUCUUGGUCAUAGCAAUGUUGUGGGAGCUGCAAGCUUCACAUGUUUUAACUUUGUCAGAGCACUUUGAAAAAGUGGUCUGUGGUAUCUGGAAAGUUGAUGUUGCGUGUGAAGAUUGCAGACAAGCUUUAUCCAAGGAAAUCUGGCUCUCAAAGUUCCGAGAACGGUGCCUUGAUGCGAAAAUUAACUUAACACACAAAUUAAACCCUCUUGUUGUCAAAUUGUAGUAUAAAUGCAAGUAGAGAUCGUUCUAAAUCGGGGAUUAGGAGUGCUUGCUAAAACAUCUAAACUGACUUAAAAACAUAUAAACAAAGUUAAAAACACAAAACUAGACUCAAAGAACUUAAAACAAACUCAAAGGACUCAAAACAAGCUAAAAACGCUCAAAUCUGCCUAAAAACACAAAUUGGGUAGAUUUGGACUCUAACACACUUUUGGGACACUUAAAAACACAAAUCAAAACAGAUUUUGACUAAUAAAACACUUUAAAGUAAAAGGGGGUUUUGGUUUUGACGAAUUUGAAAACAAAACAAGUAAAUUAAAGAACUAAUGAAAUCUGCACGAAUUUGAGUAAAUUGAAUGAAUGGAAGGCUAGCUAGGAGGUUCUUCUCCACACAUGACAUACUUGCACAUAAACCAAUUUUCAGUUCUUCUUUCGAUGAAUCAUGAAACUCAACGCCCCAGGUUAAUUAAGUCUGCUUAAAUUAACCUUCAAGUUCUCCUUAAGUUAUUGAAUUGGAUGGGAAAGUGCAUACAACAAUUCAAGCAUUCUUCAAAAGUUCUUUACGUGAAUAGCACAAUAAAGAUACAAUCAAAGAUCAUUAAGCAUUAUGAAAACUAUAAGUAUUGACGAGGCACUCGUUACUAUGAUGAGCAUGAAACUCCUGCCAAGAAUUUAUUUAACACGAUCGUUUAUAAGGGACCUCCACUACUUGUGAAUAUAAGUUUGUAACUAUUAGGUGAAACUCCCUUAUACUCUAGCAUCAUAUUCAUGCAUGCAAACUACAUGCAUGCAAACUAAGUGUGCACUCUUAAUAAACAUACACGAAUAAGUUAUCAAUCAAACAGUUAAACAAAUUGAAUUCACAACUGAAGGUAAUCAAAUCAUAUUGCAAGCAUGAACAUGGUUUCGAAUUCCCCCCUAGCUAAGGGGGGUUUAGUUCCUCAUACUCAUAAAGCAAAGAUAAACAAAUUUAGACAUUGAAAACAAAAAGAAUGAAAACACCUAAAAAUGCUCCAACAAUCAAACUUGAAUGGCAAGCAGGUCCAAGGGUCCUCCUACUUCUCUUUGUUGUGGCACAAGGUGUGGUUUGAUGGAUGAGUGGUAAAUUAUGGUGGUGGAUGGAUAUAGGUGAGUUAUGGUGAAUGGUGGAUGGGUGGAUUGUGUUCUCCCUUGUUAUGGUGAAGGGUGGAUGUAUUUAUAGGCUAGGGAGAGGACCACCAUCUAAUUAAGGUGGUAGUGAUGAGUGUUGUGGUAAUGAGUGGAUGUAAUGGGUGUGGUGGAUGAAUGUUUGGUGAUGAGUGGAUGUAAUGGGUGUGGUGGAUGAAUGUUUGGUAAUGAGUGGAUGUAAUGGUUGUAGUGGGUAGAUGUUUGGUAAUGAGUGGAUGUAAUGGGUGUAGUGGAUGACUGUUUGGAGUUGUAGGUCAACACACUUGCACACACACAUGCUGAUUUCUAGCCUUCAAAUCUUCAAAAACGUCCAUCCUCAUGUCUCCAUGCUUGCACUAUCCAAUCUUGGCGCAAAAAUGCUCCAAAAUGCUCCAAAUAGCACUUUGUUGCUAACUUUGUUAUUUGAACCUACAAACACACGAAAAUAGCUUAAAGUACUAAAAUAACUGGAAUUAAACUAAGUAAAUGCCAAGAAACAAGCUAACUAAGUUUCAUAAAUAUGCUCCUAUCAUGCCUCUUCGGUUUUCGAACAAGCAAUCCUAUCAGGGAUCUGGCUCUCGAGAUUCGGAGAACGGUGCCUCAUCGAUUUUGAGAAAGCAAUCAUGUUGGGAGUCUGGCUCUUAAGAUUCGGAGAACGGUGUCUCUUCAAUUUUUGAGAAAGUAAUCUUGUUGGGAGUCUGGCUUUCGAGAUUCGGAUGGCGGUGCCUCUUCGAUUUUUAAGCAAGUAAUCCUGUUGGGAGUAUGGCUCUCGAGAAUCGGAGAGCGGUGCCUAUUUGAUUUUUUAGCAAGCAAUCUUGUUGGGAGUGUUUUCUCAAAUGUGAGUAAAGGUUGGGCAUUUUUACCAGUCUACCUUGCCACGGAGCACGGAGGUUGACACACAUAGGGACUUUCCAGUUAUCAAGCAGUGGUGUUGUUCCUUUACCCUUGUGGGUAAUAAUAGGGUAGCUGGACCUUCAAAAUUUAUGUGUCUAAAUUUUGUAAGAAAUCUUUGGCAAAGUUAUAUGUGGUACCCGAGAAGCUGAUGUUGCGUGUGGAAAGUGGUGCCUCUUCGAAAUCCGAAUAGUGGUGUUGUUCCUUUACCCUUGUGGGUAAUAAUAGGGUAGUUGGACCUUCAAAAUUUAUGUGUCUGAACUUUGUCAGAGAUCUUUGGCAAAGUUAUAUGUGGUACCUGAGGAGCUGAUGUUGCGUGUGGAAAGUGGUGCCUCUUCGAAAUCCGGAGAGUGGUGCCUUUUCGAUUUUUGAACCAACGGCCAUGUUGCCCUUUCAUUUAUAAGGGCACCAAUUGUGUGCAAGAAGUACAUUCAGAUAGUUAUUGCUUGUAGGAAUUUUCCCCUUAUUUUUGUACUUCAGAGAUUUAUUGGACCUCAUUUCUCCUUCAUCAUUUCUGAAAAUGUCUGGCCCAUGCAAUCGUCAUUUUGACUUAAACUUUGGCGAAGAGGCAGCUAUGUCUCCUCAAGACAACAUAUGGCGCCCAUCCUUCUUAUCCCCUACUAGUCCUCUUACCGUUGGAGACUCUGUGAUGAAGAAUGAUAUGAUCGAUGCGAUGGUGGCCAGGAACCUUCUCAUUCCCAAAGAUAACAGACUACUUUCCAAAAGGUCUGAUGAGUUAGUUGUUAAGGAUUCCCUGGCUUUUAGUGUUUAGUGUGCAGAUUACGUGUCUAAUAUGGCCCAACGCCUAUUUGCUCGAACCCGCCAAGUUGAAUCAUUGGCGGCUAAAGUGAUAAGUCUCAAACAGGAGAUUAAAGGGCUCAAGCAUGAGAAUAAACAGUUGCACAGGCUCGCACAUGACUAUGCUACAAACAUGAAGAGGAAGCUUGACCAGAUGCAGAAAUCUGAUGGUCAGAUUUUACUUGAUCGUCAGAGGUUUGUGGGUUUGUUUUAAAGGAAAUUAUUGCCUUCGUCUUCUGAGGCUGUACCGCGUAAUGAAGCUCCAAAUGAUCAACCUCCAAUGCCUCCUCCUUCUGGGGUUCUGUCCAGUAUUGAGGCUCUGAAUGAUCACCCUCCAGUGCCUUCCCUUUCUGGGGCUCUACCAACUGCUGAUACUUCUCCUAAGCAACCUUUGUGAGGGCUCCCUCUUGUUUGUUUAUUUUGACUUAUGUAUAUGUACAUAUUUGUAACUUAUCGGAGAUAUCAAUAAAUAAGCUUUGCUUCAUUUCAACGUAUUGUGUUAAAUACACCAAAGCCUUAUUCACUAAGUUCUUUGAAUUUUUUUCUUUUGUUGAAGCUUGUAUGUUGAAGCUUUAUGAGUAAACCAUGUCGGUUGAGGUAGUGUUCCCUUAAUUUCACUAGUGAGGAAAACUUCUCGGUUUGAGACUUGAAAAAUCCAAGUCACUGAGUGGUCGUGAGACUUCCGAGUAUCAAGGUGCAGUAGCAUAUGGUAGGAGUCCCCCAACUUUCCGAUCGAGGGAGUUGACGAAAGAGGUGUCUUGCUAGUAGCCAGGCUUCUAAAGUAACAAAACUUCACCAUUUUCCUUUCUAAGUGGUAGCCCAAAACUCAUCCUUCACAUAUAUUUGUUAUGAAAGUUGUUAGGCCCAAAGAAGAGGAGGCCUAGGCAAUUUUUUUUUUUUUCGAUUUGUUGAAUUUCUGAAUUUUCGAAUUUUCGAAUUUUAUAUAUAUUAAGCUUUGUAGGUGAAGCUUUGGUGUUGAAGCUUUGUUGGGUACUAUGAAUUGAUUUUGCUUCACACUAUCUUGAUCAAGAGUGUGUGAAGCUUUUGUAGGUGAAGCUUUUGUGUUGAAGCUUUGUAGGUGAAGCUUUUGUGGGUCAAGCUUUUGUGGGUCAAGCUUUUGUGCGUCAAGCUUUGGUGUUGAAGCUUUUGUAGGUGAAGCUUUGGAGUUGAAGCUUUGUAGGUGAAGCUUUGGAGUUGUAGCUUUUGUUGGGUACCAUGAAUUGAUUUUGCUUCACACUAUCUUGAUCAAGAUAGUGUGAAGCUUUUGAGAAUUUGUAGUAGUCCUCCAUUGAUGAAGCUUUGUUGAAUUUCCCAAUUUCCUUUUUUUAUUGUUUUUUUUUUUUUUGGGAAAAUUAGCAAUUUGAAAAUGUGGGAGAGACAACAUAUACAAAUUUUGCUUCCACACUAUUAAGUAAGAGAUUGUGAUGCAAGCCACACCUUGUAGUAGUCGAAGGUUUAGAUGAACCAUAUAAAUUGAAGUUGCUUUGAGCAACCUUGAUCAAAAGUGUGUGAAGCUUUCUACGAGUUGUAGUUGCCCUUCAUUGAUGAAGCUUUUGUUGGCACCAUAAAGUGUUAUUGCUUCACACUGUCUUGAUCAAGAGUGUGUGAAGCUUUUAAGAAUUGUGGUUGAACUCCUUUGAUGAAGCUCUUGUUAGCACCAUAAAUUGGUUUUGCUUCACACUGUCUUGAUCAAGAGUGUGUGAAGCUUUUGAGAAUUGUGGUUGAACUCCUUUGAUCAAGCUCUUGUUUGCACCAUAAAUUUGUUUUGCUUCACACUGUCUUGAUCAAGAGUGUGUGAAGCUUUUGAGAAUUGUGGUUGUCCUCCAUUAAUGAAGCUCUUGUUGGCACCAUAAAUUGGUUUUGCUUCACACUGUCUUGAUCAAGAGUGUGUGAAGCUUUCUACAAGUUGUAGUGUUUGCAUUGUUACAAAAGAGAAAUGUCUGAAGCAAAUGCAAGAGGGCUGAAUAGCUUGAUCUUCGUAUGCCAUGCACUGAAGUUGUUGUUGGCUUGCAAUAAUACUUUAUUGGUGACUAUAACUCUUGUUGGGCAUAAGUGAUCCCCUAGUUGAGUUGUAAAACUUGAAGGUUUUUUAUUAUUUGUGAAUGCUAGGAGUUCACAUGUACAAGUUGUACCACUCGUUUUCUGGUUGGUGGAAUGAAUGGUGAGUUGCUUUCAUCACUUGGUUUGUGGUACGAAGGUGAGUUCCUUCAUCACCUUUCAUCAUAUUUCAUCACCUGGUUGGUGGCACAAAGAUGAGUUCCUUCUUCACCUGGUUGGUGGCAUGAGUGGCAAGUUGCCAAAUGAUAUUAGAGUACGGGUUGUACAUUUCAUCACCUGGUUGGUGGCAUGAAGGAGAGUACGGGUUGUACAUUUCAUCACCUAGUUGGUGAGAAUAAAGGCAAGGUGUCGAGGCACAUUGUAACAAGUGUCGAAGACACAAAGUAUGUUAAACCCUUUCGAAUCACAAUUGGCUUAUGUAUGGAUGUGUUGGAAUGUAUGAUGUUUAUGUAUGAAUGUGUUGGAAUGUAUGAUGCUUAUGUAUGAAUGUGUUGGAAUGUAUGAUGUUUAUGUAUGAAUAUGUUGGAAUGUAUGAUGUUUAUGUUGAUUGAUAUAAGUGAUACUUAUGAAUGUUUUGCUAUGCAUGAAGGGAUCCAUGCUUGUGAUAUGUGAACCAUGUUGGUUGUAACACUUAGUAUCACAUACUUUGUGUCAAAGUCCGCAUGUUGAAGCUCUGAGUUGGAGUAUAAGGGCAGGUCAGCGUAGACCAAGUGUUCCAGUGCUAGGAACGCAAAAGACUCAGAAGAAGUUGUCUAAAUUCUCUCUUCUUUAAAUAUUUGCCGAAUGGCUUGUGUGACAAAAUAUCUCAAGCGGUUGAGAGUCAAAACAUUGUAAUGUGUAUGCCUUCUUAUAAUAGCAUUUCCUUCAGUACCUAGUCCUCCACUUUGAAAGAGUAAGGCUUGACCCCAUAGUCAUAAUAGUCGACAGUACGUUCACCUCUGGUUGUCUUGAUACGAACUUUUAUCCCUCUUGUUGUAAUGGGCUUGCUGAGAGUAAAAAUCCUUAUAAGAGACAGAUACGUUUGGUGACCUAGCGAGUAACUAAAUGAGGCAAAAGAUGAUGCAAUGGGUGUCUGAAUGGCCAAUAUCUCCUCACUUGGUAGAACUUGACUUCCACUUCCCACUUGUUGAUAGGGGUUAACCAUAUGGGGGUUCCCUUGGUAUGUCCUUGCUUCGGCGGAGGCGUGGUUGUAAGCUUAUGCCAUCACUUUAAAGUAAGUCUUCCAAGUGUUGGCAUUGAUCAUAUACUUAAAGAAACAAUCAUGUAGGCCUGCCGUGAAGGCCUUGAGGGCGGUCUUGUCAUCAGCCUCAGCGCAGCAAGAAUACUCAUGGCUGAAGCGACUGACAUACUCUCGUAGUGACUUGUCCAGCUUCUGGUGAAUAGUGUACAAGUUAUCUGCAGAAUGCAAGCGAUUGAUCUGGAAGAUGUGUUGAGAGACAAAAAGUUUCCUCAAUUCCUCAAAUGAGUCUACUGUUUCAGGUGGAAAACGGUAAUACCAGUUUAAGCUCCGCCAUAGAAGGUAGAGGGGAAGAAAAGACAUCAGUUUUUGUCGGUGUGCAUCCGAUAUGCCAUGGUGGACUCAAAGAGGUUAAGGUGUUCAAUUGGGUCCUCCCUUCCAGUAUAGAGUUGUAAACCAAGCUUUUGUUUUGUCUUCGCUUGAAGGGGGUGUCGAGGAUCCUUCUUGUGAAAGGGCCAGGCAUGGGUUGGUUCCAGUCAGGUAUCUCGGCCUGACGUUCGGCCUUCAACUUGUUUACUUCCUCAAGGAGCUGUAGGACAAAGGGGUCCUGAGUAGAGUCAUAUACCACUGGAAUUUUCUUUCGUAAGUCUCCAUCGCCUCUUGGAAGUAGGAAAGUUUGAGCAAGGGCAUGUGGUUUUUUCUUGGACUCGUCGUACUGACUUCUAGGGCGAGUCUGUCGGAAUACCUCAGAGUCCCAUGUGCCUUCAUGUUCCUCUGGGACUUGUUGUUCCUUCCCUAGAUUGGCAGCUGGCCUGGGUCGUGGGAGGGGACCGAGUCUUUCAGAAACCCUUGGGUCAUUGAUCUUCUAGCAUAUGUGGAGAGGAUUCUCUCGACGUUACUUUAGGAAGUCUCGACAAUCACGAUAAAUGGCUUUCGAUCCUUCCAACCCUUCUACAAUGAGGUGUCUUCCUCCACUUCCUCUGCUUUGGGUCGAAGCAUCUAGGUUGAGAGAAGUUUCAUGUUGAUCAAUGUUUUGAUGAUUAGCUCACUCCUCAUCAGGGAUACCCAUGUCGAAGGGAGGUGACCCUCCGUGUUGGGUGGGCACCUAGAUGAUGGUUGAUGUCCACAGGGACAACGAGCUCGCAUGUUUGAGUAUGCCUAGUUUCAUGGAGCGUCUCAAAGAGCUUCUCAUACUGCUCCUAGAGGACCUCAUUCUUCAUUGCUAUCUUGUUGUUAUGGGCUUCUAGUUCAUUGACUUUAGCUUGAAGAACAACCCUCUUUCCUUCCUUUUUUUCGUUGCUUCGCAUUAGGUGCAAGAGGGGUGUCAUUCUGUGUGCUAUGACUUCCUUCACUCCCCAUGUUAGAGAGGGAUGCCUGGUUAAAAGAGAGUGUAGGAAUGGUGGAAACCAGUUUAACAAAACUGAAGAAAGUGGGAAUAAGUGUCGUUCCCACAGACGGCGCCAAAUGUUGAUGCACAAAAUCAGUGAAGACUUUAGUACAACAAAAAUUGCUAAGUUUGUGACCUUCGCUAGAUUGCUCUGGUCACUAGUGUGGAUAAGUAUGUAAAUGGAUAGAGACAGGGAAGCAAACACAAGAUGUACGUGGUUCACCCAGAUUGGCUACGUCCACGGAGUAGAGAAGUUCUCAUUAAUUGUGAAAGGUUUACACAAGUACAUAGGUUCUAGCUCUCCUUUUGUAAGUACUAGUGAAUGAUUUAGUACAAAUGACAUUAGGAAAUAUUGUGAGAAAAUGAUCUCUAUUUAUAAAAGAGAGUUUCUAGUUUCAUUCUAACAUUGACACGUAUCGUGUUGUGAUUGGCUUCUAAUGUUGACAUGUGUCGCGCUAUGAUUGGCUUCUGAUGUCGACACGUGUCGCGCUGUGAUUGGAGGGAAAUUCUUCUGGGUCCUUGACGGUAUAACGUUAACCGGUGCUCAAUAGUUUCGAGAUUGGUCAAAUAUGGUACAAACAUACUCUUUUAUAGGUUACUCGGAUUUUUGCAUCUCCACCCCUUGUGACGGUGAGCAAAUUUGGUUCCAACAAGUCUCAAAUUAACGGAAUUAUGCAUUGGUAGUAAAACUCACACAACCUCGCUAUGGUAAAACCCAAUAUGGGAGAAAAACUCAUAGACUAAGGAGAAACAUGAGAAGUAUGUAUAAUGUCAAAACUAAAUGUCUACAGGAUGAAAAUAGUAAAAUCUAACUGGGGUAUGACCAACCUUGGAUGGGUGUCUCGUUAAAGCCUAGUAAGGUGGCAAAAACCCAGUGGAAAAAUGCUCCUAAUUGUACAGAAAAAAAGUACACUAAGAUCAAGUGAGUAUACUUCUGAAUACUCCUCCUGAGUUUGACAAAACUUCGAAAAAUGAGAAAUACAGGAAAUUUAGAUUCGAUAAUUUAUGCAUAUUGAUUCCUUGGACAAUCUUCUGAAAGGUAGACUUUGUCAAUGACUUCGUGAAGAGAUCAGCCAGGUUAUCCUGGGAAUAUAUUUGCUUGAUUUUAAUUUUCUAAUACUUUUGUUGUUAAUGUGAAAAGAAGAAUUUUCGGCGCAAUGUGCCCGGUGUUGUCUCUUUUGAUAUAUCUCCUCUUAACUUGGUCAAUACAUAUUGUGUUGUCUUCAUAAAAUGUUGCAGAGGCGUUAACGACGAAAGAAAUACCUUAGGUGCUUCGAAUAUGUGUCAUUACUACUCUCAGCCAGAAACAUUUUUGAGUAGCUUCAUGCAGGGAAGUCAACAUGGUUCAAAACAGUCGCAACUAGGUCUGUUUGGUGGACCUUCAAGAUAUUGUGAUGUCUUCAACGGUCAAGAUGUGACCCUUUGAGAACAUUUGCUGUACAAAUCAGAUAAGUAACCAGCAUUAGUGUAACCAGCAAGGCGAGAAUCAGCCUGAGGUCUAAAAGGGUAGUGGAUCCUUUAGAGGAUUUAUAUAGGUAGAACAACCCCAAAUCUAGCGUACCCUUCAAAUAAAGGGAAAUAUCUUUAACAUCACUUCAAUGUUUGCAUAUAGGCCCAUUGUUGUAUCUUGCCAAAAGAUUCAUACCGAAAGAGAUUUCCAAUUUAGUGCACUGAGCUAAGUACAAUACAGCACCAAUUGCACUUUAGUAUGGAACUUCGGGCUCCAAAACCUUUUCCUCGUCCUUUGUUGGACGGAAAUGAUCUCGUUUAGCAUAUAGCGUCCGAACGACCAUAGGGGUACUCCAAGGCUUCGUUCUAUCCUUAUUAAAAUGACUCAACACCUUUUGGGUGUAGUUUAAAUUAUACACUAGGAUUUCAUCUGAAUAAUGCUUGAUCUUCAAGUUGAGACAGUAUCGAGUUUUCCCAAGGUAUUUUAUCUCAAAUUCAGACUUCAAGUGCACGGUAAUUUUCUCAAGCUAUUUGGGAGUCUCAAUGAGAUUCAUGUCAUCAACAUAAAUUACAACGACCGCAAAUAUGGAAUAUGACUUCUUAAAUGUGACUUCUUCAUAAACACGAAUAGGCAUAGUUCAUUGUUCACAUAUCCUUACUGAUCAAAUACUCACUCGAACAAUUAUACCACAUCCAUCCGGAUUGUUUCAAUCCAUAUAGUGAUCUACUUAAUUGAAUUAAGAUGGAUUCCAUGGUCUAUAACUAUUUGGUCCAAUCAAUGUAACUUCUUCUAGAACUUUCAUAUAGAAUUCCGUAUCAAGAACCUUAUAUAGAUACGUGGUUACCACAUUCAUAAGAUACAUAUUCAUUUUUUUCGAAAAAUCUCAAACUGAUAUGGUAGUGGAAUGUUAUGACACCAAUUACGGAGGAAUAUAUCUCAUAAUCAAUCUAGGGCAUGAGAGAAGGCUUGCUCUACAAGGCGUGCCUUAUAUCGCACUAUCUUAUUCUUCUCAUUACACUUCCUGAAGAAAACUGACUUGUAGCUAAUAUGCUUCACAUGUGCAGGGGUAGGAGUAACGGGCCCAAACAUCUUGAAUUUCACAAGUUAAUCAAGUUCGACCUAGAUUGUUUGUUUCCAAUUUGACCAAUUUGUUACAUCGAAACUCACCAACGGAAGGUGGUUUAUUGUCAUUUCUUAGCAUGAUAUUAGUACCUAUUGUGUAUGCAAAAGCAUCAUCAAUUAUCAUCAUAAUCGAAUCCUAAAUCUCAUAUAAAUUUGCAUAAUGGACCAAAAUCUCACGAUUAUCAAGAGGCGGAUACGUCUCAUAAAUGGCGCUUACGUAAUCUAGAAUAACCUCAUGUAUUGGAACGGUUGUGUAGGCGAUUGUCGAAUUCACACUAGGUUGACUAGUUUGUGCCGUCGUCCUCUUUCAAGGUUGUCAAGCCUUUGAACCAACUAAUAUGCCAGGCUUCAGGGUAGGAGCAGAUGAUUGGCUAGUUGUCAAUGUACCAGUUUGCGCACUACGUGCAACCGACCCUUAUUCGGGGACUUUUGGUACAUCGAUCCUUAUAGUCGUGUUUGCAUCAGGUAUAUGUGAUCUCGUCACCUUUGCUAGAUCGGUAAAAGAAUCUAACAUGCUUUGAGUAAUGCUUUGUUAAUCUAGAAUACGGCACAUUUAGUUUUAGACUGGGCAGUGUGGGGAUCUAAAUGAGAUAUAGUAGAGGUAAUCCAAGAAAAUUCACGGCUUUCUUCAUGAACGUUUGCAUUCUUAUCUUCCCCUAUCGAUGGGAAGACUAUCUCAUUGAUGUGAUAGUCCACCAAAUGUGAGGAAAAAGGAUCACCUGUCAAGGGCUCUAAGUAGUGAAUAAUGAAUGAUGAUUCAUAACCAACAUAGAUUCACAUUCUUCUCUGAUGACCCAAUUUGGUACGUAAUGGCGCCGCUAUUAGCACAUAGACUACGCACCCAGACACGCGUAAGUGUGAGAAGUCAGGCUCAUACAUAGUAACCAACUGUAAUGAUGAUAAGAUUGGGUAGCAGUGCACCUCUAGCUGACAAACAUGGUUACAUUUAAUAUUGCAUAACCCCAGGCAGAUACCGGGAUCUUGGUUCGCAUAGUUAAGGUCCGAGCAAUCACUUGAAGGUUUUAUGAAAGCUUUUGCCAGGCCGUAUUGGUUGUAAACAUGGGGUUCUGAAUGUUCAACUUCAAUCCCAAUAAACAUGUGAUAAUCAUAAAAAAUAUUGCAAUGUAUACUCUCCAACAUUAUCCAAUCGAAUCAAAUUAAUCAGAUAAUCAUAGGUUAAGCCUUAAGCUUAAUUAUUUGAGCUAGAAGUUUCGUAAAGGCAUCAUUGCUUGCCGACAAAAAGCUGAUAUCUGACCAAUGUGCUAAUACAUCAAUCAACACCAUAAAGUAACUGAAUGGCCCGCAUGUUGGUUGGAUAAGUCCAAAAAUAUCCCCUUGAAUCCUCUGAAGAAACUUAAGGGAUCGUGAAUAAUCUUUGUAAUUAAGGGUAGUAUUCAACUUCCUAAAAUAGCAUGCUUGGCAUGACAGACAUCAAGGAUAAAUUCUCAAAUAGCUGGUUCAAAGAUGCUCAAGUGAUACUUUGAGUAUACAACGCAUCAUGUCUCAUCUUGGAUGUCUUCAAACGAUCAUUCUAAAGCAGCAAAACACUUCGAAACCCGAGCACAUAACUAGCUACAUAGUGGGCCUCAAUGCCUCGAAUGGUCAUGAUGUACAACCCUUUCAGGAGGCAUUCAUCUUUUCAUGAAUAUGCUUCUAGCCAUAUUCGUAAGAAGUUAUGCAAAGGUAUUCUGAACCGUUCUCUUCACUGGUUUCAAUGUGAUAGUUAUUCUCUUGAAUAUCUCUAAUACUCAACAACGUACUUCCUGGAUGGGAAGAAUAUAGGGCCUCUUUAGUAGUUAAAUUAUGUACCAUUAGACAACAUUAUACGGGCCUUUCCAUAUCCUUCAAUCCAGUUGGAUAAGCCUCCUUAGACAUGUGCCCCUUUGUAGGAUCAUCCUUGUGCUUGUGUCCAUACUGAUAAAUUAAUGAAUGAUGAAGUGAGAGAUUUGAUUGAGCUUGAAAUGACUUUCUCUUGGAAUAAUUUUGUGCAACACAUUAGGGUAUUUUUUUUACCAGGAUUUUUCUCUCUUUUCUCUGAGGGAAAAAACUAAUCGUUGAAACGUAUAAGAGAAUACAUGAAUAUUUAUAAUACCUACAUGUGCCCUUUGGUAGCCUUGACGGGAUGGAGUCCAACACCUUGCGCCAAAUCCACCACUUAAGCUCACUUGGGCUUAUGACUUGGACCUCUUUUAAUUAAAUAAAGCUCAAAAGCUUAUUUUAAUUAAAAACAUGUCCAAUAGGCCCACAUAAUUAAUGCAAUAAAUUAACAAUUAAUUAUAACCAUUAUCCACAUAACGUUGUUGGUACUAUCAUAUGUGUGUGACCUCUUAGGUUCUACUAAAGCCGGUAGUGAAAUUAAUUAGUAAAUUAAUUUAGGGCAAAAGACUGUUUACUACCCUCAUGUUUCGUGGUUUUCAACAUUUAGUACAUCAAGUUUUUUUCGUCUUAGAGUCGUACCUAAAGUGUAAAUUUUGGGACAGUCUCAUACAUCCGUUAGUCAAACUCUUAAGUCUCCCGUUAACUGUGACGUGGCGCCCAUGUAGACAAUAAUUGGGCGCCACAUGUCAUCCACGUGGAAAUUAAAAAAAAUAAAAAAAAAUAUAUAUAUAUAUAUAUAUUUUUAAAAAAAUAAAAAUAAAAACCUUCACCUUCCCCAAAUCCCACAUGUGCCCACCCUCCCAUCACCCACCUCUUCGUCUUCAACAAAUCCCACCCUCCCAUCACCAUCUUCGACUCCACACUCAGGAAGAACAAAAAAAAACAAAAAGAAAACCCAGAAGAAGAAGAAGAAGAAGAAGAAGAAGGAAAAAAUAAACCAAAAAAAAAAAAAAAAACCGGAAGAAGUAGAAGAAGAAGGAGGAGGAAGAAGCAAAAAAGGAACCUAGUUCGUCCCCCUGAGGAAGAAGAAGAAGAAGAAGAAGAAGGAAAAGGAAAAAAUAAAAUAAAAAAGGGAACCAAGUUCGUUGCCCCGAGGAAGAAGAAGAAGAAGAAGAAGAAGGAAAAGGAAUGAAAAAAAACAAAAAAUAAAAAACAAAAAAAAACAAAAAAAAAAAAAAAAAAAACCAAAACCCAGUUCGUCCACCCCCCCCCCCCCCAAAAAAACUCAACCCCCUGCAACCUAGAAGAAGAAGAAGGAUGAGGAAGAAGAAAAAAAAAAGAAAACCGAACCCAGUUCGUCCACCCCCAAAACCCAAUCCCCUGCAACCCAGAAGAACAAGAACAAGAAGAACAAGAAGAAGGAGGAGGAAGAAGAAAAAAAAAAAAAAAAAAAAAAAAAAACCAAACCCAGUUCGUCCACCCCCCCUCCCCAAAACCCACCCCCUGCAACUCAGAAGAAGAAGAAGGAGGAGGAGGAAGAACAAAACAAAAAACAAAAAAAACAAAAAAAAGGGAAUCCAGUUCGUCACCCCAAGAAGAAGGAAAAAAAAUUUCAAAAAAUUUUGGCGGGAAAAAAACGUUUGGGCAGGAAAAUUUUUUUUUGAAAUAUUUUUUUUUUCACUGAAAUCCCUUCUCUAAAAAAAAUCCACGUGGCACCCAGUCAUUGUCCACAUGGGCACCAUGACACAGUUAACAGGAGACUUAACAGUUUGACUAAGAGAUGUAUGAGACUGUCCCAAAAUUUACGUUUUAGGUAUGACUCUGGGACGAAAAAAAAUUGAUGUACUAAAUGUUGAAAACCACAAAACUUCAGGGUAGUAAACAGAGUUUAACCCAUUAAUUUAAUUCCAUAAGCCAUGAGUGAUACCUAGUAACAUGUUAUGGCUAUCUAGAUUAGAAGUAUAUGUGGUAUAAUCAUGAUACUCAAUCGAAACCUUGAUUGUAGUUAUAAGCAAUUCAGCUCUUCUAUCAUCUAUAUCACGACCAAGAUUUAUGUGAUACGGAUUUAUGUCAAAUCACAUAUAGAUAUCUAUGAUCACCAUGAUGCAUCUCAUGUUGAAGUAGUUCUUACAAACAUAGCUUGAUCAACAAGCAACUCGACCAAAAUUUUUGAAAUGAAUCUUUAAGUGGCUUUAAGGGAUAUCUCCUUCUAUUGAAUAAGUAUCAAAAGGUGAUAGAGUGCACAUUCAUAUAACUCCAUACUCAUACACAUGAACCAAAUCAACACACUGUAUGGCCCUACAAGGUACUGAAGAAUCUAAGGCGAAGUCAAAGUUCAUAUCUACACAAGAUAUAUGAUGCUGCCUCAAGUCUAGGAACUAUUCUCAUACUACAACCUGAAACUUUGCAACGUUUGACAUAUGCUAAGCACUUUACAUUUGAGUUUAUUAGGCAGUCAUUGUUCAAAGAACUUGUGCAACUGACAAGCACUUGCAUAUGCAUGUGUCCAACAUGCAUAUGCACCUGAAACUCACCUACAAAAUAUUGAUAUCCUGAACUAAUUAUUGGGAUCAACUGAUCAAGACAAAAAAAAGCACAUGGAAAAAUAUUGAGUUAUAGGGGUAAAUGUAACCAAUGUAGCUCUGCUACGGCCAACAUAGGUAGCAACCCAUUUUAGUACGAAUUUAAACCACAUUAUUGUGAUCCCAUUGUGUGGCUAAAUUUAUUCCCCUCCCUCUUAGUGUAGAAAAUAUCGUUUGUUCAAAAAAUAAAAAAUGUUGUUUAGUAAAGAGUGAAAAUAAGAUUUGAGGUCAACAAUAUCAGAUAAAGUUAAAUUAUUACAAUUUGAAGUACAAGAUAAAAUUUGAAGAGUAGAUUGGAGUGAAAAUUUUAAAGUAGCAUAAAAGUGUUAAAUGGAUGAGCAAAGUGUUAUGUCCUAUUUUGCUUAAGGGAGAUAGAGAGGUUGUGGCAUAGUUUAGGUAUGAAAUUAGUCUAGUGUGCAUAGUACCACAUUCAUCUAGACAACUAACUUCCCCACAUUUAUACCUAAUCACGUGUUUACUUGAACUCAGUCACAUGUAUGCAAGAAACAUGAUUCAAAUAACUCACAUUUGAGGACAAUAUCCAAAAUGUUAUCCAAACUAAAACAAACACCAAACCUGAAUCUGAGAACAUAGGAAAUUGUUCACAAAGUAAACUAAAAUUAACUAGGGGGUUUGACCAACAUUACUUUGUACGAGGGACAAAGUGUUAUAAAGUGUGAGAAACUUUUUUUCUGAUUAAGUCUUCAAAUUUGAUGUAGAUGUUUGAUUGUUGAUCUAAUAAGGGUUGUGAUGACUUGAUCUCGGACGAAUGGUUGAACUAUUGCUUCAAGUUUUGAGCUUGAAAACAAUACGUGGAUGAUCUUCACCUCAAAAGGCGCCGCAAAGGUAGUGUUUGAUGCGGGAUUUCGUUGCUUCAAGGGUCUUGGCGACUUGACCUUGAAAUGAACGUUGCUACAAGUUUAUAAGCUUGCAACAAAGUCUUGAAGGAAUCGGCAAGAGCGCUUGUUGAUUCUUCAAAGAAGUGCUUCGGCUUCAGUUAAGAGAAAGAUUCAGCUUUGGUUGAAUGUUCUUCGAAGAGAGCUUUGGCAGCGUAUUAUUCUUCAAAAGUUUUGCAGAGGUUCUUUUGUGUAGAGAUUUUUUUUUUACCCUUCUACUUGUAGGAUGACCUUGUAUUUAUAGGCUUCUCAAGGCUUGUCUUUGGCAUUAUUUUAGGCAUGUUUUAUGUCUUAAUUUCAGCCACUUUACUCCCUUGGCCGAAUUUAAGGAUCUUGUUGCCUAUUUUGUGAGCAAUCUUCAAUUCUUACUUGUUUUAUGAUGAUUCUUUAGCUUUCUUUCCAAUUUUAGGAUCAAUUUGGAUUCCUUAGCCGAAUUUAAGGGGGAUGCUCCCUUAUUGCCAAAUUUUGGGGAAGUUUUAUACUUCCUUUGCUUGAUUUGUGCCACAUGUCAUUGAUGACUUUUCCAUCUGUGAUGAGUCAUAUGCCACGUGGAGCUUUGUGAUGCAUCAUUUGUAUGCAACGAAAUUUACAUGUCUACAGCCACAUCAUUAAUCAUUUCAACGUCAUCUUCCUUAAUAGGAUCAUCUGCCUGUAUUUCUACCUAUGUUUCAAGCAAUGCAUCAUCGUCAUCAUAGGUCUACAUCACCACCAAAACCCCCACCACACAACAUCAAUAAAUAAAUAAACAAACAAAAAUAUCAGUUCUAAAUAUUUUCACAAUGUACCAUUAAAAGUUUUUAGAUCAAUGUUUCACUCAACUAAUAAAAGGUUUUUUUUCUUUUCUUCUUGACAAAUAAAAGUUGUUGGUCCAUUUGGUAUUCAGCGUUUCGAUCAUUUUGUAAAAGUAAUCUCGGUAAAUUUUUUAUAAAGAUCUACUUCAAAUAGAAAGAAUUUCAAAAGCAAUCGUAAAAAGAAUGAAAGCACUCAACGAAAACAUAUGAUUGUCUAUUAGUUUCAAUGUAAUAGGCAUGAAAUAAAGAAAGUUAAUCAAAAAAGCAUAAUAUCAUUUUCAAAAUAUAUAAACCUAGUGCCACCAAGUUUUCAAGUCUAUGUUGAUCAAUGUUUUGUGUAGUUGGACUAACUCCACCUUACAAAGUUAAGGUAGUUUGUUCUCUCCACCAAUGAUGGGGUAAAUAGUAGUCUGUUCUUCCACCAAACCAAAACUAUAAACAUAAAUAAUAUUAUAAUGCAUCAAAAUUAGCAACUAAAAAAUUUUAAACAUAGGAAAAAAAAGACAUUAUGAAAAACUUACCAACAUAGCCGGAACACAACAUGUUACCAAAUGCGGCUUACUGGCACGUACUAGCGAUUUUUUCAAACACACAGCAACCGUCAUUGCCCAAUUAUAUGUUUAAAUUUGAUCCAAUUUCUCUAAAUUUGAGUAGAACUAUUGCACUACAAGAGUGUGUUACAGAAAUAAAGGCACAUUAAAUAUGCAAAGUCUACAUGCUCUUCAUUUGAUCUUCAUGCAACCACAUUUCUUAUGAAUGCCUCAAUUCUAGUCUUUGUAACACAGUUGACCACAUCUAAGAAAUAUUCAGCUAUGAAUGUUGUUUUAUUCGUUUCUCCCCUAGGAUACUUGUGUAUUCCAAAUAUUUUCUCUCGUUGGGAAUGCCAAAUAUAUCAGCAAUGUCAUUAGCAGUCACCGCCCCUUUUGAUGUCACCAAAUACAAAUCACCCUUGGUCUUUGUCAUAUUGUUCAAUUAUCGUCAUGAUAUCAUUGUCCAAAGUACUAAAAAAGUGCUCGGUUGUCACAAGCUUAUCUCUAUAUGUUUGGUAUAGUCUCCAAAACGAUGUUGCCUUCAUCUUAAUAUGAUUUCGGCCUUAACAUCAAUUGUACCAUAAAAAGGGGCAAAGUGUAAAGGAUUUGAUCGUAGUUCAUGCUCUCAUUCUUAACCGUUGAUAACGUCAUCAUGUACCUAAAACAUUUUUAAUCGGUAAUCAACAUCUAGUAUUUAUGUUGAUAUGCUACAAUAGAAUAAAAAUAAGGAUACAAACUAAAUGAUUGGAUCAUCUGGUCACAACGGUAAUCACAACUCAACAUUUUUUUUUUUUUACAUAAAGAAGAAAUCUUACUCUGUAGAGAAAAAUGUUUCUAUUUCAUUGUUUUCUUACUACUGCUAACGCAUAAAAUUAUUACAAAGAGGAAAGUGCUUCAUCUAGAUUAAUCAACAAUUCUCAAAACGUAUCAACACUUACCAAAUGAAAUACUAACAAAGAGAUAAGUCCUUCAUUUUCGUCAACCAAAACGUAUCGACCCUUCCUAUGCAACUGUAAUUUAAUCAUUUAAUUGAAAACAGAGGAAGUUUAAACCAACUACUGAAACAAUAACAAAUGUACCAAUCAAAAUCAAUGCGAAAAAAAAAAAACAAAAAAAAAAAAACUUCCAACUUCAAAAGACUAUUAAAGCCAACCAACUGAUAAUUUGAAUAAAAAAAAAGGGUAAAUAUCAGUUACUACCAUCAAGUUUCGUGGCUUUUAACAUUUAGUACAUGAAAUUUUUUUCAUCCUAGAAUCAUACCUAAAGUGUUAAUUUUAGGACAGUCUCAUACAUCCGUUAGUCUGGCGGUUAAGUCUAUCGUUAAAUGAUGAAGUGGUACUCAUGUGGACAAGAAUUAGGCACCACAUGUCAUUAAAAAUAUUAAAAUAAUUAAUUAAAUAAAAAUACUAUAAAUAAAUAACAAGAAAAAAACUUAGAACCCCCUUCGUCUUCCCCCACCCUCCACCCCUCACCCACCGACACCCUUCCUCUUUCCUGAUACCCACCCCUACCACCUAGCCUUUUCUCGUCUCCCAGAAACCCAGCCCCUUCCCUUCCCCCAAAAUUCCCUCCCUCCCUUCUCUUCUCUAGAAAUCAAGACUAUUGAUUAUUUUUGUUUGUUGGUUUGUAAUCAAUUUAUUAAUUAAAAAAAAUCAUCAGAAAUCAAGGGAAGAAUCAAAUCAGAGGGCUAGAAAUUCGGGGAAAGGUUACGAGGAUGAUGGCGGCAUCUUCGAAGAUGGUGGUGCGAAUUUGGAUCUUCUGCAGAGAGACGACGGAGAUCAGGUGCGGGCAAGUGGCGGCGUCUUCGAAGAUGGUGUUUUCAACCACGAAUUUGGAUCGGCUGCGGAGAGACGGCGGGGAUCAGGUGCGGGGAAGUGAAGGAGAGGAAAAAUGAUAUAUGUCUCCUAAUUUAAUUGUUGAGACAAAUAGUACAAACAAAUUCAGACCUAUGCACUCCAGCUCCGUAAGCGGUCAAGAACUCGUGGCUAUGAGACUGUUGCGUGUUCAAGCACACUUUCUGGACAAACUUGUUUUGUUGUUUUGAUUUGCAGAGAAGAGAAGGAAGGGAGGGAAUUUUGGGGGAAGGGAAGGGGCUGGGUUUUUGGGGAAGGGGGAAAAGCUUGGUGGUAGGGGUGGGUAUCAAGGAAGAGGAAGGGUGUCAGUGGGUGAAGGGUGGAGGGGAUGGAGGGUGGGGAAGAUGAAAGGGUUAUAGGUUUUUUUCUUGGUGUUUUUUUUUAAUACUUGUAUUUAAUUAAUUAUUUUAAUAUUUUAAUAACACGUAAUCUUCAGUCAUUGUUCACAUGAGUGUCACGUCAUGAGUUAAUAGGAGAUUUAACAAUUAGAUUAACAGAUGUAUGAGAUUGUCUUAAAAUUAACAAUUUAGGUAUAACUCUGGGAUAAAAAAAGUUUCAUGUACUAAAUGUUAAAAACCACGAAACUUGGAGGUAGUAAACUGAUAUUUACCCAAAAAAAUAAUAAAUGGAACCUCAAUAACAACAUCGACCUGGUACAGAAAGAGGGCCUUUAAAACUUACGAUGAGUUCAUCAAUGGAAAAAAUGUGUCACUGGAGAAUAAACUUUACGAAAGGAAAUUAACAUGAUUAGUAUCCUGAAAUUGAAAUUCUUCUUACCUUGAGCCAUCAGAAUUCUUCGUGGAUUAAAACUCUGAGAAAAUGGACACCAAAAUCUGCUUUGUUAAACGCUAUGAACACCAAAAAUCUAGGAACCAAAAUCUAGGAACCCUCCUUUGUUUUGGCGUGAAGAAAAUGGACACCAAAAUCUACUUUGUUAAAUGCUAUGGUAGGUCCGGUAGUUUAGGUACAUUAAAAUGGGUUAAUUAACGUACACAUGGAAGCAAAAUUGUAGGAGAAUUUCUAAUCAAAUUGUUAAAACAAACAAAAUAUUUAGUCUAAGAAGCUUAAAAACAGAUGUUUACGGUGUAUGUAAUUUGAUUUUCUUUUUCUUUUUUCAGGUACAUUGCUUUAUUUUUAAUGUAAUUAACUAAAGGGCAAAUUUGUUUACAAUAGAUCAUGUUGUUGGGUUAACAUAGACAAAGGGGGUUAUUAAAAUCUAAAAGGGUGUGAGUGUAAUGUUUAAAAUGCAAAGGAAUUUUAUGAAAACAACAUAAACUUGAGAGGGUAUUAAUGUGAUUAUGCCUUCUAUACUUUGCUACUAAUCGAGAAACAACUUUAAUAGCCAAGUUCAAAAAUCGGAGAAAUUUUUAGUUGUGACGGGAACACAAGUGCUACACCACGUGUUUUAAUAGGAGUGGUGAGAAAUUUUAUUUUUUAAGUUAUUAACAUUUUAACACACACAUAUCCCACCAUUUGUAUAGUGACACAUGGUGUACCACCCUGUGUACCAGUCAUACUGAAAAAUCUCUCAAAAAAUUGUUCACAAUUGUCAAUGGCAAUAUCAUUCAUAAAUAUUCAUAUGCAUUAUCAUUAUUCUUGGGCAAAUCCUAUUAUAGGUCGUCUCAUCUGUGACCUAGUGCCAUUCCAUUUCAGAAAGAAAGAAAGAAAAAAAAAGGGGGGUAAAUUACAUAAAACUACCUUAACUAUUGGGUCAUUAACAGUUUCAUACAUCAUAUUUAAAAAGUUUCAAUGUCAUUACUUAUCUUCGAAUUUGUUACAAUGUCAUACCUCCCAUCAAUUAUCUGUUAAUUCAUCUGUUAAAUGCUGACGUGGCUUGAGAUGGGGGUGAUUUUUUAUUAAAAAAAUUAUUAAAAUAAUAAAUUACCCUUAAAAUUAAAAAAAAUAAAAAAAAUAAAAAAAUAAAAAGAAAACCCACACCCAUCUUCCCCGACCCCUUCCCCUUCCCUGCAACCCCAUUUCCCCAUCACCACCUCCUCCGCCCCCAACCCUUUCCCCACCCACGCCAACAGCUCCAACCUUCCCCACAUCCUCUUUUCUUCCUCCCUCCAACAGCUCCAACCCCUCAUUCAUUUCCCAUCUUCCCCGUCGCUCCCCCCCCCGCCCCCUAAUACUUUCCUUCCAAGCCCAAUACCCCUCCCCCACCCCCCCCCCCCCACCCCUCUUCUCCCUCCCGAGCCUCCUAACCACCUCCCUCUCCUCCACUAUCUUCACCUCCCCUCCCAUUCAAAAAUUUAUUAUAAUAAUAAUAUUUGAACCCAAAUUGUCCAGAUCGUCGCACCCCACCCCUUCCCGUCGAAGUUGGACCACCUCAACUGGUUGUUUUUUUUUAAGUUUUGAAUGGGAGGGGAGGUGAAGAGAGUGGAGGAAAGGAAGGUGGUUAGGAGGCUCGGGAGGGAGAAGCACUACUACAAAAGGGGAUAUUACUGGCGGUGUAAAAACCGACAAAAAACCCCAAUUACUAUUGGAUUUUUGGUAAAAAUCCGACAUUAAAUCGUGCAACGUCAGAUAGAGGAACCGACACCAAUGCUACCAUCAUAAAAAGGGUAUUGACAUCACUUAGCCCCCCUUAAUCCGCCACCAAGAAGCAAAGUAAUAUAAAAUAAAAAAGGAAAAUAGCGUCACUUAAAAGUGACAUCGAAGAUUGCGUCGGAUACAACCGACAUUAAGUACUGACAAUGACUAUGAAAUGGAAUAGACUGAUGUUGGUCCUAACCGACACCACUUGAUAUUGGGAUAAAUAAAAUAACCAUUAUAAUGUUGCCCAUAAGCAACACCACCUAAUAAUUGGUUUUUUUUUUCUCUCUUUCGAGAGCUCUUUCUUUUUCAUCGUCUUCUUCACCCUCUCUCAAUCCUCACCUUCUUCUCUUCAUCGUUUCUAGUAAAUCGACAUUGCUUGCGUCCUAUUUUGCUUCUCUAUGUCACCUUCCUCUCACCUCCUACAUCUUAGAUUUCAAAACAAGUAUAUUUGUUGGUCUCGUUCCUUCUCAUUGCCAAGCGUGGUUGUGUUCCUCAAUGAAUUGCCAAUCAACAUCUCUUCCAUGAACUGCAUUGGCGCCUUCAUAAAUAAUUAUCAAAAUUUGAAGAAUUUGUACACAAAAAUUGCAUGAGGGAAAAGCAAAACGACUCACAAUUUGGAUCUUCGACCAUGAGCCGCUUCUAAUCCAAUGCCUCGACGGUCUGCAAUUGGGAUCGUGUUCCCAUUGGGCUCGCUCCUUUGCUUACUCGCCAAACUGCCCUCUGCCACAUUUUCCUCCUUGGCCUCGCCUUCAAUAUGAGACGAUGUCGUUUCCAUCUCUUCCACGACUCCCCCGACGCUCCCAAUGGCAGUCCUCUACCUCAACUGGACGGCCCCGCUCAAAUUCUUAAAGUCGGGAUCUACGACCUUCGUCCUAACGAGCAGGAGCACAGUCUAGGCUUUGUUGAAUUUGAAACGGCGAUUACUGCUACUACAGUUGUGGUUGAGAAGAAGGAUCAAAGAAAGAGCUGCUUUGUCGAAGGGGUUGUUUUCUCUUCCUUUAUAUUUACAAUUUUGUGCGGGAGUCUACUGGACUGGUGUGAAAAUUUCAAAUUUCAAAAUGUUUGAAAUUUUUAAAAAGUUUAGUGACCUGCCUUUUUAAAUUUUUUUAAUUUAAAUAUGAAUUUGGUAGAUAACAAAACGACAUCGGGUUUUAAAAUAUAUAAAAAUAGUAUUAGUGUCGGCUACAACCGACACUAGGUUUCAAAAUAUUUUAAAAAAACUAAAAUUUAUGUCACUAAGAACCGACGCAGGCUUUCAAAUAUUUAAAAACAAUAAUUAGUGUUGCCUAGAAGCGACACCCAUACAUUAUGUCGCUUAAAAGCGACAUUGUUUUUGUCAUAGCCCGUCCCGAAUUACUAUUAUCGAUGAUGUAAAAUGACGAUUUUAUCCUUGGACGUUGAAAUUGUAGAGUGUGUGUGGCAUACCUUGAGACUUAGAUGUUAUUUUUCUUUGAGUGGUUGGUGACCAUGUGGAACACAUACACACGCACAAAACUCCUUCUCUCACUUCUCUCCCGUACUCUCUCACCCUCGGAUUCACUCUCUCUCCUUCCCUCACGUAAGGACAAUCAACAAAACUCACACUCACGCACGGAUCGACGUUCUAAAGGUAAUAUUCUUGUUCCUUGCAAGCUCUUGAGUAUAUCUAUACUAUUUUUAGAACGUGAAACCUUGAAAAACCCCGAGAACCAUAACCUCUGAUUUGAGGUACUAUUUAUGCAAACUUAAAAUCUUAUAUUUUUUUUUAUUUCAAGCUUAUAGGUAGCUUAAGGAGGUCCUCACGAGUCUAUGAGUGGUUUGUUGGAUGAUUUUGGACGUCAGAAUAGCGAGAACGACGCAUUUUAAGUUUGGACGGAUUAUCGAGGCUUUUUCGGCGGUUUCAGGGCUCGACUCAGGUAUGGUUCGAUUCGUCUUGGUGAGAUCUUUAAAAUGGUUCAAAUUUCAUUAAGUUUGGUGUUGAAAUAAGGGAGAAAUAAGGAAUUGAAAUUUUUCCAGAAACCGACGAACAAUCGCCGGCGGCCGGUGGCUCGUCAGGGAAGAAAGGGUAUAUUUCGUCAGUUUUGACGGAAUAUGUUAACGGCCUAAGGUGACGCCGUUAGUUUUUAGAUGAAAUAUUCCAGAAUUUAACAGAAUAUUCCCUAACGGCGUUACUGACCCCGUCAGUGUGCCAGGCACGUGCCCGCGCGUCGGCGGCACGCCUGGCCGUGCCUUGGUUGGCGCGUGGGUGGUCGGGAAAUUAUUCUAAAAAUAUGGGGAUGUUCGUGGAUUUGUGUAGAUCAUGUUGGUAUAUUCAAACACCCCAUUUGAGCAUUGUAUGAGAAGUUAUUAGCUAGUUUUGUCUAUGUUCUUUAAAUAACGUUUUUAUAGUUAAUUCGCAUAUAGGUGACACUUAUCUCGAGGACGAGCGCAUUCAAGGGCAACUCGGGGGCUAUGACCGUUCAACAUACCAGUUAGUGGCCUUUUGGUUUUCAAUAUAUAUUUAUAUACUUGAUAUUUUCCCAGAAAAAUAUGUUUGAAUGAGAUUAUGCCUUGAAUGCCACACAUAUAAGUUUAUAAUUCGUAUAUGAAUUGGUAUAUGAUGCAUUAUAUAUAAUUGUGGUGCUAUGGAUGCAUUAUAUAUAAUUGUGGUGCUAUGGAUGCAUUAUAUAUAAUUGUGGUGCUAUGGACGCUCAGGUAAGCUCAGGUGAGUUAUGUUUGGUCAUGUGAAUUAUCAAUGAUGUGAUAUAUGAUUGAAUAACGUUGAGCUCAUAAAACUGCACCUAGGGUGAUUGUGAUUUAGCCAGAGAUAUGGCACAGGCCUGUUUAUAAUGUCACCUCCCGCACCAUAUGCUCAUAUUGGAUCCAAUUUAGGUGCACAGUCUUGUCGUACAAGCCUUUAUUAUGGUUCCAACUCGUAGGUGACUAGCGAUUUAUCGCCCAGCUAUUAUAUGAAAGUAAUAUUGAGCAUAAUUAUAUUACAACCAGUAUUGUAGUUUAGACCUUUUCAUUUGGUUCCGACUCUUGUAAAUUAUAGUGUCGUAUAGGAAAUUGUAGUGACUCUAGCUAGAUUGACUAUUGAGCUAUGAAUUCAGCCGUACAGACUUAUGCAAGAGUUCUGGCUAAUAUGUUAUAUUUCCAUUAAUUUAUUCUCACCUGAAUUGCUUACUCUGUUAUAUCUUUGCAUGGCAUACAUAUGAAUAUGAUUAUGUGAAGCAUGAACUGAGUUGAUAUAUUUCAUAUAUAUUUAUGUAUAUGCUUAUAUUCUAAUUCUGGGAAAAAUUAUACAUGUUUUACAGCGAGGGGUUAGAAAUGUUGAUAAAUGAAAUGGUUUUGUAAAACAUUUGUUUUACCCACUCACGUUUUCUGUUUUGCGCCCCUCCAGGUUUUAGGUAAGUUUGCAGUUGCUAGGUGCGAGGACUUCGGCGGUUCUGACCUAUCAAAAUAAUUUUAAGACAUCUUAUGGUACUGUAUAAUUAGUACUUGUCCUACUGGACUGCACCUAGACUUUCUAUGCUCUGAUUAGGAGUAUUUACUUUUGUAUCUUACUCCUAACACUUCCUGGUUAGUAGUCCACUCUAAUAGUUUUGGUUUUUAAUUAUUCGUAUAUUUCUUAUCUUCAUCGCUUCCGCACUGUGCAUAUGGCUACGUCACCCUCACGUGACGGCCAACAUGCCUUCAUCUCGGUUGGGGUGUGUCAGUUUGGUAUCAGGGCCUAGGUUUAGCAGUCCUGUAUAGUUCAUGAAUAUUCUAAUCCUUGUGAUGUCUUAUGUCAGAACUAUGCCACCUCGUAAAGAGCCCCGUCACUCAAUUGAGCCUAGUUUCCCUGAUAUUGCUCAAUUAGGGGAAGCUAUAGUUACUGCCAUUCAGUCUACAUUUUGUCCUUCUCAAAUGAUACCUCUUGAGACUGUGUAUAAUCUGAAAUUGAAUCACUUCAUAGAAAAUGAAGGGCAUGAAGGGGCAGAAAAAUGGCUUAAUCAUAUCGAGAAGACCUUCUUGUGAUGCAGAGUCAGGGGAAUCUUCCUCCUGAUGGGUGGGUCGAGACGACUACCUGGUUUUUCGGAGAGCAGCCUACAUCCUGGUGGAGACAAGAGUCUUACCAGUUGACCCCAGCGGAGAUUGCGGACUGGGGAGUAUUUAAAGAAUUGUUUCGGAAAAGGUUCAUUCCUCCUAAGUAUAUUGAUAGUAAGAAACAAGAGUUUACCCAUUUGAAGUAAGGAAAAAUGUCAGCGAAUGAAUAUUACAGGAGGUUCACUGAUUUGUCGCGAUAUGAUCCGGAGGUUACUGCUAAUCCGGUUAAGAUGCUCCUCCGUUUCAGAUUUGGUACUAAGAAGAAAUGGCGUUCUAUAGCGACAUCGACUCCCUGUGUCACUUACCAAGAGUUUUAUGAGGUUUUACUGUGGAUAGAGGACUCAGAGAACAUGCCCAGUGAAAGUGAGGAUGAGGAAGAAAAGAAUGGGAACCAGAGGCGAGAUGAUAAAGGAAAACGGUAAGCAUCUCAAGGACCUCGUAAUACCCAGAAUUUUAAGAGAAGCGAUGGCAGUUCCAGCUCUUCUAGCGGAGGAUUGAGUUCUAAUAGGAAGAUGAGAGGUGGUAGAUUUACUAGAGGCCCUAAAUUUCAGAGACAGAGAGACUUUGGUGGUUCAUGUGGUUCAGGUGCUCAUUUAUGCCGCAGGUGUAAUAUUAGGCAUUUUGGGGAGUGUAGGAGAGGCAGUGGCGAAUGCUACACUUGUGGACAGAUGGAUCAUAGGGCUGCUCAAUGACCUCAGAAUCAACAGAGACCCCAGCAACCUUCAUUCCCACCACCUGUGCCGACCCAGCAAGCUCCAAGAUCUAGUGGUUAUGCCAGACUGGACAAGGGGGUGCCUAUCAUUAUCAAGGCGACACCGCUCCUUAUAUUUCAAGACAGCAUCAAUACUCUUCGGAUCCUUAGUAUCAGAGUAGGUACCCUCAGUAUCAGGGAGGUUCUAUGUCAUAUUAGCCCCAUUCAGCUGGUGGAUCUCAGUGGUACCAAGGGGGACAGUCUCAGCAAGUCGAGAUUGCUGCUAGCAGUGCAGGAUCUUCAAGGCAGUCUAUUAGCCAAGACAGGAUGUGGUGUUCAUGCUAACAGAGGUCGCAGUGAACGACAACAGAAUCAUAGGCGUAUCCAUAACAUGUCACUACAAGAUGCUCAGAACAAUCCUGAUUUGAUCAUGGGUACAUUAAAUAUUCUUGGUCAUUUUGCUAGAGUAUUGAUUGAUUGUGGUGCUAUGUAUUCUGUUAUUUCUCAUACAUUUGCUCAAGUAACGCAACCUCAUCCUACACCUCUAGGAUAUGAUUUAGAGUUUUCUAUGCCUAGAGGGAAUAGAUGUUUUGUGGAUCAGGUAAAUCCAGGAUGUCCAGUGAUGGUAGAGGAUAUUGCUAUGCCACCUAAUCUUAUGUCGUUGGAUAUUAUGGAUUUUGAUGUAAUUCUGGGCACUGAUUGGUUGCACUAUAAUCGUGCCAAGAUAUAUUGUUAUGGAAAGACAGUCACAUUUCAUUAUCCUGGAUUACCUGAAGUUACAUUUGUAGGAGAGCCUAAUGGGUAAGGCAUGGUAUUAUUUCUGCCAUGAAAGCCAAAAGAUUGUCGAAAGGUUGUCAGGGAUAUUUGGCUCAUGUGAUGUUGAAUGAUAAUGCUCUUAGUAGUGUGGAGGAUGUGCAUGUGGUCAUAUAUUUUUCGGAUGUAUUCCCGGAGGAUUUGCCUAGAUUACCACCAGAUAAAGAUGUGGAGUUUGUUAUUGAUUUGCUUCCAGGUACGAAUCCUAUCUCUUUGACUCCUUAUAGAAUGGCUCCUGCUGAAUUAAGGGAAUUGAAAGUUCAAUUGCAAGAAUUAGUGGAUAAAGGUUUUAUUCAGCCUAAUACUUCACCUUGGGAAGCUCCAGUCUUAUUUGUGAGGAAGAAAGACGGAACUUCAAGGCUGUGCAUUGAUUACAGGCAAUUAAAUAGGGUAACAAUUAAGAAUUGUUAUCUGUUACCUCGUAUAGAUGAUUUAUUUGAUCAUCUCCGAGGUGCCUAUGUAUUUUCUAAGAUUGACUUGAGGUCAGGUUACUACCAGUUGAAGAUUAAAAAUGAAGAUGUCCUUAAGACCGCAUUCGGGACUCGAUAUGGUCAUUAUGAGUUUCUUGUGAUGCCAUUCGGGUUAACUAAUGCACUAGCAACUUUUAUGGAUUUGAUGAAUCGAGUAUUCCAGCCAUAUUUGGACAGGUUUGUUAUUGUCUUCAUUGACGAUAUUCUGGUAUACUCUAAGUCUAAGGUUGAGCAUGCUAGACAUCUUAAAUUGGUGUUGAACAGUUUGAGGGAACACCAGUUAUAUGCUAAGUUUAGCAAAUGUGAAUUUUGGUUGAAUCAAGUGGCAUUUUUGGGACAUGUUAUUUCUACUCAAGGCAUUCAAGUGGAUUCUCAGAAAUUGGCAGCUGUAGAGAAUUAGAGCAACCUCGAACCGUCAUCGAGGUACGGAGUUUUCUUGGCCUAGCAGGCUAUUAUAGAUGGUUCGUUAAGGAUUUUUCAUAAUAAUUGUGAGUAAAGUUUUCAGCAGUUGAAGUAUUAUCUCACUCAUGCACCUGUUCUAGCACUUCCAGAUGAUAGCGGUAAUUUUGAGGUUUAUAGUGAUGCUUCUUUGAAUGGUUUGCGUUGUGUAUUGAUGCAACAUGGUAGAGUAAUUGCUUAUGCUUCGAGACAGUUGAAACCUCAUGAUAAGAAUUACCCUACUCAUGAUUUGGAGUUAGCAGCUAUCAUCUUUGCUUUGAAGAUUUGGAGACAUUAUCUUUAUGGUGAGAAAUGUAAGAUCUUCAUAGAUCAUAAGAGUCUUCAAUACCUGUUUACUCAGAAAGAUCUAAAUCUUCGACAGCAGAGGUGGAUUGAGAUACUUAGUGAUUAUGAUUGCACGAUUGAGUAUCAUCAUGGCCGUGCAAAUGCAGUGCCAGAUGCACUUAGUAGGAAGACUCCAACUAGACUUAAUGCCAUUUAUGAUUGUCAUGUUCCUCUUCUUGUGGAUUUAAGGUCCACUAGAGUGGAGUUAGGAGUGGAAGAUCGAGAGGAAGCCUUACUUGCUAAUUUUCAAGUUAUGCCAAUUUUAAUUGAUCGUGUGCUCGAGGCCCAGAUGAAUGAUCAAGAGACCUAGGAAAUAAUUCAAGCAAGGAAUCAAGGCAAAAAGAAAGAUUUCGGGAUUCGAGAAACUUAUGGUAUGCUUAUGCAGGAAAACAGAAUGUAUGUGCCAAAUAAUGCAGAGUUAAAGAAAGAAAUUUUGGAUGAAGCACAUAUUUCAGCAUAUGCGAUGCAUCCAUGAGGCACUAAGAUGUAUCAUACCAUUAGACCAUUUUAUUAUUGGCCAGGUAUGAAAAGAGAAAUUGCUCAAUAUGUGAGUAGAUGUGCCAUUUGCCAACAGGUUAAAGCUAAAAGGAAGAAGUCGUUUGGGUUGAUGCAGCCACUUCCCAUUCCACAAUGGAAAUGGGAAAAUAUUACUAUGGAUUUUGUGUACAAGCUUCCUCGUACACAGAAUGGAUUUGACGGCAUUUGGGUAGUAGUUGAUCAGCUUACUAAGUCAGCACAUUUUAUUCCAGUGAGGGAAAAAUAUUCGUUAAGCCGAUUAGCUAAGUUAUUUAUGUCGAAGAUUGUGAAGUACCAUGGUGUUCCAGUUAAUAUUAUCUCAGAUCGAGAUCCUAGAUUUACUUCUAAGUUCUGGGUAGCAUUUCAAGAAGCUCUUGGUAUGAAAUUACUUUAUAGUACGGCAUAUCAUCCUCAGACAUAUGGACAAUUUGAGAGGACUAUUCAGACACUAGAAGAUAUGUUGAGAUCUUCAGUGCUUAAGUUUGGCGAUGGUUGGCAUGAUUGUUUGGAUUUGAUGGAGUUCGCCUAUAACAACAAUUAUCAUUCAAGUAUUGGUAUGGCACCAUUUGAGGCACUUUACGGGAAAUCUUGCCGUACACCUCUAUGUUGGUCAGAGGUUGGCGAAAGAGUUUUAGUGGGCCCUAAGAUUGUGGAGGAGACUACUCAAAAUGUUCAGAUAAUUAAGUCUAACCUGAAAGCGGCCCAGGAUCAACAAAAGAGCUUAGCAAACAAGCAUGCCAUUGAUCGGAAGUAUAAUGUAGGUGAUUGGGUAUUUCUGAAGCUAUCACCUUGGAAAUGUGUUGUACAAUUUGGAAAGAACGGCAAGUUGAGUCCCAGGUACAUUAGACCAUAUAUGAUCACUGAGCGAGUCGGUAAGGUUGCUUACAGGCUUGAGUUGCCUCUAGAGUUGUCCAAGGUACACGAUGUGUUUCAUGUUUCGAUGCUUCGACAUUAUGUUUCAGAUCCUUCACAUGUGAUUCCUCCUCAACCUUUGGAGAUUAAUGCAGAUUUGACAUAUGAUGAGGAACCAGUGACUCUUUUGGAUUGGAAGGAUAAGGAACUAAGGAAUAAGACUAUGCGUUUGGUGAAAGUGUCAUGGAGAAAUCAUUCAGUGAAAGAAGCUACUUGGGAGACAGAGGAUCGGAUAAGAGAGAUGUAUCCACACUUGUUUUAUGAUUAUUAAUGGAUGUAUUUGUUGUGUAUAAUUUCGAGGACGAACUUUUAUAAGGUGGGUAGAUUGUCACAGCCUAUCUCGAAUUACUAUUAUCGAUGAUGUAAAAUGACGAUUUUAUCUUUGGACAUUGAAAUUGUAGAGUGUGUAUGGCAUACUUUGAGACUUAGAUGUUAUUUUUCUUUGGGUGGUUGGUGACCACGUGGAACAUAUACACACACACAAAAUUCCUUCUCUUUCUUCUCUCCCGUACUCUCUCACCCUCAGAUUCACUCUCUCUCAUUCCCUCACGUAAGGACGAUCAACAAAACUCACACUCACGUAUGGAUCGACGUUCUAAAGGUAAUAUUCUUGUUCCUUGCAAGCUCUUGAGUACAUAUAUACUAUUUUUAGAACGUGAGACCUUGAAAAACCCCGAGAACCAUAACCUCUGAUUUGAGGUACUAUUCAUGAAAACAUAAAAUCUUAUGUUUUUGGGGAUUUCAAGCUUAUAGGUAGCUUAAGGAGGUCCUCACGAGUCUAGGAGUGGUUCGUUGGAUGAUUUUGGACGUCGGAAUAGCGAGAACGACACGUUUUAAGUUUGGCCGAAUUAUUGAGGCUUUUUUCCGCGGUUUCAGGGCUCGACUCAGGUAUGGUUCGAUUCUUCUUGAUGAGAUCUUUAAAAUGGUUCAAAUUUCAUUAAGUUUGGUGUUGAAAUGAAGGAAAGGAAUUGAAAUUUUUUCAGAAACCGAUGAACAAUCGUCGACGUCCGGUGGCUCGUCAGGGAAGAAAGGGUAUAUUUCGUCAAUUUUGAUGGAAUAUGCUAACGGCCUAAGGUGACACCGUUAGUUUUUAGACAGAAUAUUCCAUAAUUUAACAGAAUAUUCCCUAACGCCGUUACUGCCACCGUCAGUGUGCCAGGCACGUGCCCGCGCAUGGGCGAUGCAUCUGGCCGUGCCUUAGCCGGCGCGUGGGUGGUCGGAAAAUUAUUCUAAAAAUAUGGGGAUGUUCGUGGAGUUGUGUAGAUCACGUUGGUAUAUUCAAACACCCCAUUUGAGCAUUGUAUGAGAAGUUAUUAGCUAGUUUUGUCUAUGUGCUUUAAAUAACAUUUUUAUAGUUAAUUCGCAUAUAGAUGAGACUUAUCCCGAGGACGAGCGCCUUCAAGGGUGACUCGGGGGCUACGACCCUUCGACAAACCAGUGAGUGGGCUUUUGGUUUUCAAUAUAUAUUUAUAUACUUGAUAUUUUCCCAAAAAAAUAUGUUUAAAUGAGAUUAUGCCUUGAAUGCCACACAUAUAAGUUUAUAAUUCGUAUAUGAAUUGGUAUAUGAUGCAUUAUAUAUAAUUGUGGUGAUGUGGAUGCUCAGGUAAGCUCAGGUGAGUUAUGUUUGGUUAUGUGAAUUAUCAAUGAUGUGAUAUGUGAUUGAAUAACGUUGAGCUCAUAAAACUGCACCUAGGGUGAUUGUGAUUUAGCUAGAGAUAGGGCACGGGCCUGUUUAUAAUGUCACCUCCCGCACCAUAUGCUCAUAUUGGAUCCAAUUUAGGUGUACAGUCUUGUCGUACAGACCUUUAUUAUGGUUCUGACUCGUAGGUGACUAGCGAUUUAUCGCCCAACUAUUAUAUGAGAGUAGUAUUGAGCAUAAUUAUAUUACAACCAGUAUUGUCGUACAAACCUUUCAUUUUGCUCCAACUCUUGUGCAGUAUAGUGCCGUAUAAGUCAUUGUCGUGACUCUGGCUAGAUUGACUAUUGAGCUAUAAAUUCAGCCGUACAGACUUAUGCAGGAGUUCUGGCUAAUAUGUUAUAUUUCCAUGAAUUUAUUCUCACUUGAAUUGCUUACUCUGUUAUAUCUUGGCAUUGCAUACAUAUAAAUAUGAUUAUGUGAAGCAUGAAUUGAGUUGAUAUAUUUCAUAUAUAUUUAUGUAUAUGCUUAUAUUCUAACUCUGGGAAAAAUUAUACAUGUUUUACAACGAGGGGUUAGAAAUGUUGAUAAAUGAAAUGGUUUUGUAAAACAUUUGUUUUGCCCACUCACAUUUUCUGUUUUGCGCCCCUCCAGGUUUUAGGUAAGUUUGCAGUUGCUGGGUGCGAGGACUUCGGUGGUUCUGACCUAUCAAAAUAAUUGUAGGACAGCUUAUGGUACUAUAUAAUUAGUACUUGUCCUAUUGGACUGCACCUAGACUUUCUAUGCUCUGAUUAGGAGUAUUUACUUUUGUAUCUUACUCCUAACACUUCAUGUUUAGUAGUGCACUCUAGUAGUUUGGGUUUUUAAUUAUUCGUAUAUUUCUUAUCUUCAUCGCUUCCGCACUGUGCACAUGGCUAUGUCACCCUCACGUGACGGCCAGCAUGCCUUGAUCUCGGUCAGGGUAUGUCAGUUUUAUUUAAAGGGACACCAGUAUUUAAAAAUUAUUAUAAUGUAUGUCAAUUAUAAGCAAUAGUAAAUGUUUACGUUGGUUAAAAGUGACAUAGACAAUUUAUGAUGUUUAUGAGCGACAGUAAAUCCGACGUCAUGUUCAGUUGGUGUCGCAAAUGUCUUGUCCGCCACUAUAUUAUAUUAAACCAACAUCACCCAUUGACACUAUAAGGCCCUUUUGUAGUAGUGAAAAGGGGUGGGGGUUGCGGGGGAGGUGGGGGAGGGGUUCUGGGCUUGGAAGGAAGGUUUUUAGGGGGAGGACCGACGAGGAAGAUGGGAAGGGAAUGGAGGGAUGGGGGGAAGGGGAUCUGGGUUUGGGACUUUUGGGUUUUUUUAAAAAAAAAUAAUUAAUUGAUUUUUAAUUAAGUUUUUAAUAGAAAAUGGGUCCCACCUCAAGCCACGUCAACAUUUUAACGGAGGAAUUGAUAGGCAAUUGACGGAAGGUAUGAAAUUGUAACAAAUUCGUAGAUGAGGUAUGACAUUGAAACUUUUUAAAGACGAGGUAUGAAAUUGUUAAUGACCCAAUAGUUGAGGUAGUUUUGUGUAAUUUACCCAAAAAAAAAAAACUACAAACUUCUUUCAGAAGAAAAAAGAAACUUAUCUAAUCCCAUCUUAAAUUCAUUUCUGUUGUGGUCUAUUUUAUCUGAUAAGGUUAAAGAGGGUCGACGGCAAGGAGAAGAGAGAGAGUGAUGUGUUUGUAGAAUUAAAGAGGAACAUGUGUUGUUAUUCAUUGUGCCUUUAUUUAUAAUAGUAAAAAGAGAGAAGAUAUUCCUUCAUUCCCAAGGAAUACAAGAUACAAUAGGAAAUAAUAAUUACAAUCAAAUCUAAUCUAGGAUUUACACAAUCACACUUAAACUGUAAAUGUUAACAACAAUUUCCUUCAUUGUAUAGAAUAAAAAAAAAUAAGAAGAGACACACACAACUGAGCAUCCGAUAAGAUCAUUCGAAAAAAAAAAAGAAAAAAGAGACACACACAACUGAGCAUCCGAUAAGAUCAUUCGAAAAUAAAAAAUAAAAAAAAAACCCCAAUUACUUCUACUAAACCCUAAUAAAUCUUUUCCAGUUAUUAUUCCUAGCAAACUUGGGCAUUGUCGUUGUCAUCACCAUCAACUUGCUUUCUCUCCUUGAGCAUUGCAUCGGCUUUUCUCCACCUGUGGUAUUUACCAAACAGGACCUCCAUAUCUUCUAGGGGUCUGCCCUGUGUUUCCGGCAGCAUCGUAUAAAAGAACAUCCAAGCAGCAGCAGAAAUUCCAGCAUAAAGAAAGAAGGCCCCGCCAAUCGUGAUGGCCUUGUACAGUGAAAUAAAUGUCAUAGAGACGAUCCCACUCGUAACCCUAUUACAAGCCACACCGAUACUGACUCCUUGAGCGCGUAGCUUCAAGGGGAAGAUCUCGGAGCUAUAUACCCACGUGAUGGGCCCUAGCCCGAUUGAGAAAAAUGCCACAUUGAAAUAUAUCAUGGCCAUGCACAAUCCGACGGCCCAGGGGACUGAACCUUUGUGAUGGUCGACGAUUGUAAGGCCAACUCCGAGAAACAUGAGGGAAAAUACCAUUCCGCCCACGCUGGUCAGUAGCAACGGACGCCGUCCGAACUUGUCCAGGAAAAAUGUGGCGACCAAGAUGAAAACUGUCUUGGUGAAUCCAACGGCAACGGUGGCGAGUAGCUUAUGAUUGGAGGAGGUGAUACCUGCCUUCUCAAAGAUCCUUGGGCUGUACAGAACGACAGUGUCUAUACCAGACGCUUGUUCGAAGAUGUGGAUACCGACGGCUGCGAUUAAAAUAUGGCGAACGGCUGGGGUAGGAUGGAGGAUCAGUUCUUUCCAUACGCCUUCACCGUGGCUGCGUUUUGUGACCUGAACAAUGUCGUCGUUUAAGUGGGGUGGGAUUCCUGCGGCUUCUUUGAUAUCGUCUAGUCUGAGCUGGCACUCCUCCUUGGACUCUGAAGUUCUUUGGAGGACUUUCUUAGCGUCGCCGAGUCGCCCCUGCAUAACGAGCCACCGAGGAGACUCGGGCAUGAAUAGGACGCCGACUGUGAGAAAAAUAGCUGGAACUCCGCCAACUCCGAGCAUGAACCGCCAGCCCAAAUGAAGCGGGAGCUUGGAGAAGGCAUAAUUGGCUAUGUACCCCAGUAAUAUGCCAACAUUGACAAACACCUACACAUGUACAUUCAAGCCAAUCAACAUAAAUUCUACUAUCCAAAACAAAUUAUAAAGUUCAUCACAACAUUUUUGGUUUUUAAAUUAAACUGCAGCAAACAAAUACAAUGCAAUUUUAUUUCAAAAAACCAAUAAAAGAAUAUAUUUUCCUUUUGGUGUGAGAUCAAAAUUUGUCAAAAAAGUUCACGUGCAAAGUUACAAAUUCAAUUCAAAUGAACGCUAUAAAUUUGACAUCAUAUACAUCUAAAGUAAGUUGUUUCACAUGAUGAUCAUGCAUUGUAUAAAUUGAUGAUAUAUGCAAGUAAGCAAAAAACAAAAAUCGAAACAAACCUCUGGGAAAGAUGUGAGGAAGCCACGGAACGAUGCCGGAGAGAUCUCGGCAGUGUAGACAGGAGCAAUCAUCAUACCAUAGCCAACACCGACUCCGGCAACAAACCGGCCAACCAUGAGGAAGGCAUAGUUGGUGGCAAAUCCCAUGAGGAGAGCUCCGACCAAGAAGAUGACUCCCGCUAGAACAAUGGUGUACUUGCGGCCGAUCCAGUCGGAGGUUCUGCCGGCAAAGGCGGAGCCGAGGAGGGAGUAGAUGUUUAGAGUACCAGCAAGUACUUCGACUUGAACGUCACUGAUUUUAAGAUUUUCUUUGAUAAAGAGUGACGCUCCACUCAUUACACCAAUAUCUGUAAAUAAAAUCAAUAAGUAAUAUAAAAUUAUGAGAUUUGAAUCAAUAUAAAUUUAAAAAUAUAACGAGACGAGUAUAUAUGACACUUAUUUUGGAGGAGUAACAACAAUUUUUUUAAACAAAUUAAUUUUCUAAUAUUUUUCAUGUUUCUGGUAUGAAUACGUUACGAUCUCCAAACAUUGAUCACUUAUCACUUUAACAAAUUUAGGAAACUCGUGAACUGUAAGGAGAAUUCCAAUAAAAAAAUGGAGAAUUACCAUAACCCAGUAAGACUGAAGUUGUGCAAGCCAAAAGAGCACAGGCAAUAGCGAACUUGCUAGUUUUUGGCUUCUUUGGAGGAUCAAUAUCUUCAAUGCUUGUAUUCUGCGGUCCGCUGGUGACGGCAUUCUCGUUCGCCCUCUGGUCAGCCAUCAAGCUAGAGAAAGAGAGAGAGAGAGAUAGAGAGAAAAAUAGGUAGAAAUGUGUAUUGGAGUUUGGAACUAUGGCUGUAUGUAGAAAACAAGAUAGAUAAUUUGAUGGAGAGAAGAAAUAGAGCAUAGAAAUUAGUGUUAAUUGCCACUUAUAUUUAUAAUGGAUGGAUUUUAUCCAUUGGGUCGCGGUAGGUAAUGGAUUAGGAUUUGGAUUUAUCCAAAGACCCUUAUCCAAAUUAAUUCAGAUUUGGUUUUCGACUUAGAAGUGGGAUUAGCCAAUUAGUUGAUGAGUCUCUAAACAUCAUGGCAAGAAGAAUUAAAUUUUUCAACUAACUCGACACGUGUUUACUGCCAUUAAUUACGCUGAUUAUUGUCAAAUAUGAAUAAAUUCAUCAACCGUCCAUUUUGGGGACAUCCAAUGAACUCCAUUCUAAAUUAAUUCUUCUUGUUGACCAUUUAUCUCUGUCAAACCUCUGUUCAAACACUAUUUUAUUUUAUCUUGAAUUUUGUAUUAUCUUGAAUACUUUUUUUCUUCCACUCACUAUAGAAAGUGUUACGAAUUACGUAACACGCACCAUACCCUACAGUUUGAAUUUUGCUCUACAUAAUUUAUGUCGUAUUAGAAUACCGCUCCAAUAAGACCCUCCCCCUCUUUUUGUUACCAUCAUAUGUGAAAUCUAAAUUUUCUUGUUAACUGAUAUUCCAUUUACAUGCACUAUAAUGACAUCUCAUGAGGCGCUUCUAAGAUUGAAGAAAUUUCUAGCUUCCCAAGUGCUUUAGGGUAUAUCAAUGUUUGCUGGGUCUGCAUUUUGGCAUUUCAUGAAAAUUCACCUCCUGAUUUUACAUGCAUUCCCUUUAUUCUUUCAGACUCCAGGUACCAUUUCAAUCUAAUGAAUUUAGUCUUAUUCGUCUUUCUUUUUUUUAUGUUUUUCAUGGUCUUAUUCUUUUUGUUGGGGGUUGUUAUUAUUUGUGUUUUUGUUUGUGUUUGUAUUUGAGAUGUAUUAAUUGCAGUAUUACCUAAUUACAUAUUUGUAAACAUGUCGUUAGAAUGAUUAGCUUGAUGUUUAGGAUUUGAUUGCUACAUUUUGUUGGGACCUUUUACCUUUAAAAUUUCGCCCAUUCCCCCGACAAUUCCUAACUUCGCCAAUAUUGCUACAUUUUGAUAAUAAUUAGUCAUAUUGUGCUCUUAGUUGUUUCAUGCUAAAAUGAUUCAAACUUUUCAAAGCAAUUAAGAUAUUGAAAGAAAACAAACAAAGAUAUUAGAAACCCUCGCUUUUUGUGUUUGUGGGAAAAAAUCAUGGUAGUAGCAGCAAUAAAUCCAUUGAAAAAACAUUCUUCGUGUGAGUCACCAGAAUUGGUGGUUGUUACGAACCUCAAGAUAUUUUCUCUCUGGAUCAUCAAUCAAAGUUUUGUUUUCAAGAUCUUAUGGUUUUCAUCAUUGUUCAUGGCAACGGUUGCUGCCCGGAGGAAUAUAAGUUGACUCUCAAUGAAAGCAUCAAUUGUUAGAACUAAAUUUACGCACAUCCAUAGACUGAGGCCAAAUUCAUCGGAAUUGCACAUAAUCUCCAGCGAGGAGAGAAUGCGAUUGAUUGGGGGUGUGGUCGAAUCCAAAUUGAAUUUCCUACACAUCUCAGGGUAAGGAGAAUCAAACCACUAAUAUAGCUAAGAAAGAAUGUUGUCAUGUGCAGUUUCCGCUGGUACUUAGCACAAGGGUUCAGGUCAGCAGUUUUCGCUAGAAUCUAAACGGGUGUUGCCUCAAUCAAUGACUCCUCAAAACUGAAGAAGACGCCUUCAAGGGCUUUUACACAUUUUUCGAGGUCAAUAAGCUUUGACUGUACCUUCAUUUGAGAAGCUUUUCGAACUUUAACGAAGGCGUUAAUUUUCAUCAGGUUUCCCAUAUUCGUUCCAUGGCUAGAACGUCUUUAGCACUAGAAGUGUAGCUGUGUUCUAGGGCGACAGAAGUAUUGGGACGUUUUGAAAUAGUCAUUGUUGUAGUAGAGUAAUUUAGUCAGGGAAGUAUAAAUUUACUCUCAAUGAAAACACCAAUUUUUUGAACCAAAUUCGCGCACCACUGUGAACAGUGAAGAUGUAGAAACUUGUUACCUUUAAAAAAAAUUGUAAGAAACCUAAGGACCGGUAAGGUGCUAACCAAAGGCUCUCCGAAGGUCAAAUAGUAAGCAAACAUAUAAGACUCAAGCAGUAGGCAAGAGAAUAAAUGUAUGAUAGUUAUGUUACCAAAGAUGAACCCUAUAAGGGUAUGUUACACUAUCGAGAUAGAGUUAUUUUACGACAUAGACUCCGUAUUAAACCGUGAGAAUCCCAGAGGAUGUCUAGAAGUAGAUUUUGCAUCCUCUUACGAAUGUGAUUACUUGCAGUGUACGUCAAGCCUUAGAAUAUAGAAAACUUCGUUGAUUCCAUACCAUAUCAAGUUCUCGUAUCUUGUGGAACAAGCGUGGUCAAUCUCAGCGAACUCGUUGAACUUCGCCCACUACUCUAUAACAGGAUGAUGGUGACAUCGUUGAUUUGUCUAUGUAGCUCAAUGGUGGAAGUUGUUGAGUCCAUGGCCGUACUUUUGAGGCAAUCGUACUUCGAUCCGCCUUACUCCGUCCCUGGAAAAUCAUGGUCCCACAAGAGGGAUCGAAAGAAGUGGAGAGAGAGAGAAAGGAAAGAGAAAGAGAGAGGAACACAUAGAGAGGAGGGAGAAAGAGACUGUGAACACGGAAAAUUCCUGAAACGAAAGAGACAAGAACAACGUGCACAAACAAAUAUUUGUAUUUGAUGAUUUUGGGUUACAAUCUCUCUCUAUUUUGAUCCUCUGAUUCGAUCUCCGUAAGGUUUUGAUUUAUGGAUAUUUGGUUGAUCCAAGGGCCGUGGAGGCUUGAUUUUGGAUGAACUGUUGAAAGUUUCUUCAAGGGGUCGUGGGCUUGAUCUUUGAAGGUGGAUUUGAGCGGAUCUUCAAGGAGACGUUGGGGGCUUGAUCUUGAGGAGGAGUGUUUCUUCAAGGGCCGUUGAGCUUGAUCUUGAAUAACGGUGAUGAGCGGAUCUUCAAGGGCUUUUGGGCUUGAUCUUAAAGAACAGUGAUGAACAGAUCUUCAAGGGCUUUUGGGUUUGAUCUUGAAGAACGAUGGCUAUGUGGAUUCGUUGAUGUUGUUGAUCCAAAGGGCCGUUGGGGCUUGAUCUUGGAUGAACGAUGGUGCUUUCUUCAAGGGUCGUUGGGGCUUGAUCUUGAAUUGGUGGAAGUUCUUCAAGGGCCUUUAGGGCUUGAUCUUGAAUUGGUGGAUGGUUGAUCCAAGGGCCGUCGGGGCUUGAUCUUGGAAGAACGAUGAACGAAGAACGAAGAACGAAGAACACUUUCUUCAAGGGCGUCGGGGCUUGAUCUUGAAUUGGUGGAUGAUUGUUGAUCCAAAGGGCCGUUGAGGCUUGAUCUUAGGAUGAACGAUGAGCGAAGAACGAAGAACGAAAAGAGCUUUCUUGAUUCUUCGGGAACCUGGAUGCUUGAGAGCUUCGGAGUUUCAGAGUUUCAGAGCUUCAAGAAUUUUGCCUAAUGAUUUUGGUUCUCCAAAAUGAAUGAAAUUGGCUUCUAUUUAUAGAAUUUUCCAAGGCCUAAUUUUGAAUAUAAUAUUCCAGAUGAAAUAAGUCGUUUCUGCCAGAUGUUGACAUGUGUCCUGUUUGAUGACUUUUCCAACUUAUUUCGAUUUUUUGUUUAGACAUACGCUACGUGUAAAAUUUAUGUAAUACAUGAGCGUUGAAACUUUGAUUUAUCGGUCAAUAUUUAUUUACCGAAAUUUCAAUGUCUACAGAGACAUUAAUGAAAAUGAGUGGGUAAAUGUAGAGAGAGGAUGUGGAGCCAAAAAUAUUCACUAGGCGACACGUGGACUUUUGGACAAAAGAGGACAAAAAUACCCUCGAGGCAUACCGGGAUUCCUACGCACAAGCAGUAGGAAAUUAUCUUUCAACCAAGUUAAAAGUGCUCAAAAUAGGUAACGAUUUAAAGCCUAUUUCAUCAAAUCCUUUCUAUAAGGUAAUUCCCAAAACCUAAUUUAUUUUAUAUGUUUUAUAUUCCAUUAUUUAGCUAAUCAAUUAGCUAAAUAAAUAUAUAUCCUUUCAUGUUUCCUAAAAAAUUGAUUAAUUAAGGGAUUAAUUACCCACCAAUCAAUCCCUUAAUUAUCAAUUUGAAACAUCCACUCAAACCUAAAAAAUACUAUAGGGCCGGCUAUCCCAUUCAAAACCUAGUCCAUUACCUUUUUUCUACUUUUUCCCAUCAUUUUUCCCUUUUAUUAGCCAAAUCAAUAUCAUAAAUAACUAAAAUAUUUUCCUUUCAUAUUUUAAAUUAGCCAAUUAAUUGGCUAAUUAAACCCUAAAAUUCCCACCUAGUAGCCGGCCACAUUUACUCCCUUUUGUUCUUCUUACCUUUUGACUUUCUCCAUCUUAUUACCCAAAUAAAGCUAAUCAUAAUCCUUUCAAUUGAUAACCCCCAUUUAUUUCUAUCAUAUUUUAUUAGCCAAUAAAGGGUGGCUAAUUAAACCACAAAUUCACCAAAAACAUGGACAAAGUGGCCGGCCAUUUCUUUGGAAAAAUGGACCAACUUAGUCCUAAUAAAUAUUCACAGUUCCAUUUCUAUACCAAAACACUAAUUUCAAAUCUCUUGCAAAAAUUCCAAAACACUCUAAACACUAUUUCUCUCUAAAAUUCUAACUUUGGCAUCGGAGGUUCUUCGGCCAAAGCCCCCCCCCCAUUCAUUCGUGGGCGCGUGAGGCUUUUGGCCUUAACCUAAGGUGCUUAGUUGUUUUGUAGUUGCAAAAUCGUCCAAAUCGAAAUCGAAGAGUGUGAAAUUUGCAUUGCAUCCACAAAUUGGUGUUUUUUUCAUUGAGAGUUGAAAUCCAUACUCGUAGAAGACUCUCGCACAAAAAGGUUUUUUCUUUAUUUUCUAGUCCAUUUAAAUAUAUUUUUCAUACAUUCUUAUUAGAGUUAGAAUUUUUUUACUUGCAAAGGUUCUUUGAUAAAACGUAUAUAGCACAAAAUAUAAUGGCUAGAAAUUUAGAAAAUUCCACAAGUGAAAAUUCUAAUGUUCAAGAAAUGGGAUUGGCGGAGAUCCGUGAGGCUAAAUGCAACGAAUAAAGGGAGCGGCAAUCAUCAUCACGAGCUUCCACCAUGGGAACCACCGUGGUGGCUACCUCAUAGCCACCCACGGCGAGGUCCAUGGUGCCUUCACACACGGCCACCAUGGGAACCACCGCGGUGGCUACUUCGGUAGCGCCUUCGUGGCCGAGGUCCAUGGAGCCUUUCACCACGGCCCGGAGAUCCGUGAGGCAAAUAUGCGACAAUAAGGUAUCGGCAUCACCGAAUAACACCACCACGAGUUUCCACCAUGGGAACCACCGCGGGGUGCUACCGUCGUUAGCCACGCACGGGCGAGGUCCAUGGUGCCUUCACUACGGCCACACAUGGAACACCGCGGUGGCUACUUCGGUAGCCACUCGUGGCGAGGUCCAUGGAGCCUUCAUCACGGCCCGAGCCCGUGCCAUCCAAGGCUCACGGUAACCCGCAUAUCAUCAACGAUCUUCAAGCCGUGCCAUCCAAGUUUACACGUGGACCCAAGCCCAAGCCUCGAGCAUCACAUGCACCGCGCAUUGAGCAGCCUGCUUCCAGUGAUCCAAGCCGUGCCACCCUUUUCGUCAAGCCAAAACCACUCCUCACUCGGCCCAACCAUUUUUUGCACUCUGCCGAGCAGCCUGCUCUUGUGACCCAGCCUGCUCCCGACGAGCAGCCCACUUCCCGUGGCCCAGCCUGCUUUCGUCGAGCAGCCCACUCCGGUGGCCAGCUUGCACCUCUCUUCGACGAGCAGCCCACUCCCGUGGCCAGCCUUGCUUUUUCGUUCGAGCAGCCCAGCCCACUCCGGUGGCCCAGCCUGCUGCCUGCCAAGCAGCCCACUCCCGUGGCCAAGCCUGCUCCUGCCAGCAGCAGCCUGCCUCUCGUGACACCAGCCUGCUCCCGACGAGCAACCCACUUUCGUGGUCCAGCCUGCUCCCGUGGCUUUCCAAGCAGCCCAAGUCUGCCCAAGACUAUCUCAACCAUCCGACCUACCAUCGAGCCGGGGGCAUUUCUCAACACAUUUUUCAGGUCGCGAUUUGACAUUUCCCAACUCAAAAUCUCGCGCCCCGGAGUCUACCACAUUUCCACCAUGCCCAAGAGAGGCGCAUUCCUUCCAAGCUCUUUUCACUCCAGUCCAAAUGGCGAACAACACUUGUCUCGACAAAUCAUAGAGUUGAUGAGCGCCCUUGCACAACAAGACAACCUUUGGUGAAUCAACUUUUGCAACACAUUGGGAUCCAACGUGCCCCGGACGAGGUAUCCCGAAGUAGGACAAGGGCAGACGGACAUUUCCAGCAGCGUCCCGGCAAAGCAGCCACGAGCCAAAGUUUGGGCAGUGUACAUUCCGUCUUAGAAGCGCGAAGGAGCAUGCACUCUCGACUAGGCCCACGGAGGAGCAUACAUUCACGGUUGGGGUUAUACUCCAAUAGUCAACAUGAACAAACCUUUUUCGGGCAAAGUGUCUAUUCGCAGCUAAGCCCACAAGGAGCGUCCUCCACCUCACAUCAGAGUAGGCAGCACGACGGACGGAGAGAAGCAGUCACUCAAUCUAGCUCAAAAGUUCAACCAGCAGCAUGCGAAGAACUCUCGCUCGCCUACUACUAGGAACGCAUCACAGCAUGCACUGCAUCCGCGGCAUAGACGAGCCAAACACAUGGAAGAGCAGCCCUAGACCAGCAAGUCAUGACUGGGGCAGCCAAGAGCUCCGCUACCCCAACAAAGGCAGCAAAUUCAGGAAGAAAGUAGAGACUCUUAACCAAGCGAUUUGCAUGAUUCCAAACGCAACGAGGUCACCGACGAGGCACUACGACGGAACAUAACCAACAUAAGCAGGUCACCCUUCACGGAGGAGAUUAGGAGCAGGAGCCUCCACGAGAGUUCAGCAUGCCACAUUUUCACAUCUUUCAAAGGGGAUGAAGACCCGGAGAGACACUUAAAGCGCUACAUUAUAUCCUUUCGAAGUGCAAUGAUCACUUUAUCGAAACAACGAUGAGCUAUGUGCAAGAUAUUCGCCACCACUCUACUACAGCGACGCGAGGCGCAAGAUUGGUUCUACACACCUGCCGCCACAAUCCAUCCGGAAUUUCUAACGAACUUUCUUUUUUGGUUUUCACCAAAGAAUAUUUCCUAUUGCUCGAUUAAAAAGAAAUCUGAUCAUUUUUGUCAACGUCAAGAAGAACCCAAUGAGUCACUUCGCGACUAUGUGAGGGAGGUUCAAAGUAGAGAAUGCAAAAUAGUACGUCGAAAUGCAACGACUCGAUAGCUAGAGUAGCCUUCCAAAAGGACUUCCAGCAGAACCACCCGCUAUUCGAAAAAUUGAUUCAUGAAAGAAGAUCUAACUCUGGCAGACUCUUUUGCUUUGGCAGCAGAAGUAUGCACUUUGGGAUAAAGGCUCGCCAAAUGCACAUUCAAGCACAAUGUUCAGAAGAACUUUGGUACCUGACAUCUACCUCCCUAGAAGCAGCGGAGGACUUAUUCACAUGUUUUACGGUAUAUCUAAAGUAGCAAUAAGCUCUACCAUCAUGCGAAAAGAAAUGGGGGCCCGACUACCUGUAUUUCUACCCAAAAAGGACUAUGUUAAACAGUUCAAAAAGCUAUCUCCUUCGAUGUUUAUUUAAAAAUUCAAAAGCUAACUUUGGCAGUACGACUUUGUUUGCAACCCAGAAAGCACAAGUUUUACUUUCAAACGCAUGCAAAUCAUCCUAAUGACGUACUAUUCUGCCGGAAUACCAGAUCUUUUAUUUGAGCGCCGACGAUAAAGGCGUAGACCCUGGCGCGAUGUAAAGUUUUCUGACGAACGCAACACUGGAAGGACAUCACUCGAUCGAAGCAAGUUUUGUCCUCGUACACCUAAAAGAUUCUACAUAGGAGCAACAUGUACGGGCGUUGAGUACCAUUUCUUGAUGCGCAUACACACGGCCCUAGCCGACCCCUUGCUCAAAUGAUUCAACUCUAGAGUGCCCAAUACCGGCAGUUGAGCAUCUCCUGAUGCGUAUGACAUGGCCCCAUCUCCACAGCUCCCUACUGCGUCUUCACGCCGAGCCUAGGUGACGCAACAGAGCGACCCAACGAUGCCUCAGAAGUAGCCGAGCACACUCUAGCUGCGCCUACUCCACCCGAUGGAGACUUCUGGCAUUUGCAUGUCGACGACGCAGAAAAGCCUUCAUCACUGCCGGCAGAGAAGGCUCCAAAAAGAUGGAUCCCAUCUGGGAAGGUCCGUACAAGAUCAGCAGAGUAGGGGGUAAGAGUAAUUACACCCUCACCACCAUGAAGCGGCAAAAAGAUUGAAAAGAAAUGGAUGGCCUACAAUCUGAAGAAGUACCAUGUGUGACCUCCCGCUACAUCAAAACCCGAAGACUCAAUAAGCUCGACGGGCACCACCUCACAAGCUGAGGACUAUCCAGUUGUUAUGCAGUUCCUACCUUACAGCUAAAGUUCUCGUUCGUUUCACUCGUUUUUCAAUGAGGAAUUUAGAAGUAAUCACAACUUGGCUUGGCUGCAUGCUUACAACAACUAAUCACUCAUGCACUUCAAAAGAAGACUGCGCCAUUCUUAGGGACUCAUCGCAGGAAUUGCGCCCCCGAGGGACCAACCAUGCUCUCCAGUGCGAGAGGGUAAACCAAUUCUCCGACACCCAUAUGGGUCAGCUCUUCAAGACGGGAGGAUAAACUUUACACUCCGAAUAUCCAGACGUGGAUGAGCCUGGCUGCCCUAGUAUAACUAGAUGCACGAUGGCUUGCGCCGGGAUUCCUAGAAGUAGCCGCAAUGGUCUUUUUCAAGGCUUAGCUAACUGAAGGAUUUUGGGUCUCUUGGCCUAAUCCGUGGGGAACCGGGCCCUAGAGACGGAGAGGGCACAUUACGCAGUACAUCCGAUGGAUGGCUGCCCUGGAAUCUUAAAGCUGCUACCGAGUGCACUAAGGUAGCCUACGGAUUCCGGAAGACUGCCUACGGCUUGCCCUUCGAGCAGUGAAGCCGCACUAGACUUAUACAACCGCACAUUCUUGUGAAAGGUUAAACAAGCUAGCGCGCAUAUAUACGAAGUUUUAUCCACUGCGACGACAUGCUACGUAGUGGAUAAGCUUCACCUCUGCCAAGCGCAGAACAACCUACACCAAGUCCUAAAGUGUUGUGAUACUUGCUACGCAACCUACGGAAUUGAAGAAAGUCAAGGUUAACAGCCUAGUGGUUACGCGGACUUGUCUGCUUCUGUAAGUAAGGCAUCCGGCUGCCAACCCUAUGGCUAACAACUUUGCAAAGUUCUACACCAACACCUACGGCUGCAUAGGCUACGCGAGUUUGUCUGCUUAUAAAAAAGUAGCAUGCCUGCCACUGGUCUAUCAAGUCUAAAGGUUAAGGCAUGAACAAAAGAAGUGAAGAUGAAGAAAAACGAAGGAAAAAAUGUUUAUAAACAACUAUCAAAGGCCGAAUGAGUUCAAGCAAAACAAGAGCUACAAGGAAAAACAAAGAAAAUCCUAAAGGCUACCUAAAAUACUACACUACAGCAGCUUGGACAUCCCACGACUACUCGGUCGCCACACCUUCAACAGCCGUAACGCUCUUAGCAGCGGCAUCAUCCGGCGCUUCACCCCCGGCUGCCCUAGUCUGAGCACUAACUUCUCCAACUACUUCACCAAUGGAAGCCUUAAAAGUAAAAGCAAACAAGUCUUCCGGAGAAAUAGAGAAGGUCUUAAAACCUCAAGCCCAUCCUUCUCACCCUUCAGCUGCUUAUUCUUCUUAAGCAGACUAACACGGACGCGCUACAGCUCAUCCACUAUCUUCUUAGCAUAAGUAGCGAAACGAAGCUCAGAAAUUGCAAGCUUAAGAUCUUGAAUCUGAGGUGAAUCAAUCUCAGCAGCAAAGGGAGCAGGCUUUGGCGCCACUUUAGCAGCAGAGUCCACCUUACCACUCUUCAUAAUAGCAAGUCUCUACAAAGGUGAACCGGACUUGGCUCUCAAAGAACGUCCUGGUACAGACUUCGGCACUGGGGGCAUGAUAAAACCUUUACGCUGAGUAAUCUUAUCCACAAUUGUACUAGCCAUUCUCAACAUGGAAGACGCCACAUGCUCAGAUCUAGCAGCCUUACAUUUCUUCCCAUUGGAAGAAGUCAUGUCAAUCACAUACCUCUCGGUAGCAAGCGGACCCUCAUGAGCAGCAGAAGAAGUCUUCAGUUUUUUCUUAACUGGCAUCUCAUGAGCAGGCGGGGAAGAUCUCUUCUUUCCAUCUUCAUUCAUAGUAAGCUCCACGACAGCGAUCAGACGAGCCAAUGCAUCCGCCUUGAUCAUCUUUACCUCCUCUUUCCGGAGCAGCCCACAUUUCUUUCAGCAAAGAGGACUAAGCAGCCAACGACAUUCAUGGUACUUAGCAGGGGAGCUCAACCCAGUAUUCCAGCAGGCAGGAGGCCUGCAUGCCCAACAUUCCAGCAGCCCGUGAGACCCGCAAUCUCCUUAUUUCUCUCAAUCGCCAGCCUGGCCCGAGUCAGGUCCAAGAGCCCAAAGGACAUGAGCCAUGCGGCUCGCCUAGCACUGCGCCCCAGCGCCACAAUCCGCGACCCUAGUUGCACAAGCUGCCUUUUGGCUCAAGCCAAGCCAAGCUGCCCAAGCAGUAGUCCCUGCCACGACAUCUCCUCGGCCCAUGCAGAGCCAACUCCUGGCCCUUGCCAGCCGAUGUGCCGCACCACCCCGACGGCUGCCCCACAAUAGCACUAUCCAAGAAUAAGGCAAGAAAAAUUAAAUUUUUCUUACAUCGGUGCAGCACGAAGAAGACGAAGAAAGCAACGAAAGACGGUCAUUUGCACGGGCAAGAUGUAGAAGAUUGCUAGAGGAGGGGGAACAAAUAUCCUCUAAGCUAUCUCUCUCUUGUAGGGUAGAAUAAAUCACUCUCCAAAGUUGAUUUAAUAACCCACUUAAGGUGGACUUAAAUAGGCUUUGAGAGAAAUUUAUUUCCCUUUCUAGAAGGAUCUAAUUUCCUAUUAAAGAGAGAAUCAACAUCAAAAUAGGAAGCAGUCUUAAGUUUCCUAAAGCAAGAAGAUCUCUACACCUGCUGCCCUUUUCUGCGAGCAGCCCAACAGGUGUGGGGGCAUUUGUGGAGCCAAAAAUAUUCACUAGGCGACACGUGGACUUUUGGACAAAAGAGGACAAAAAUACCCUCGAGGCAUACCGAGAUUCCUAAGCGCAAGCAGUAGGAAAUUAUCUUUCAACCAAGUUAAAAGUGCUCAAAAUAGGUAACGAUUUAAAGCCUAUUUCAUCAAAUCCUUUUUAUAAGGUAAUUCCCAAAACCUAAUUUAUUUUAUAUGUUUUAUAUUCCAUUAUUUAGCUAAUCAAUUAGCUAAAUAAUAUAAUCCUUUCAUGUUUCCUAAAAAAUUGAUUAAUUAAGGGAUUAAUUACCCAAUCAAUCCCUUAAUUAUCAAUUUGAAACAUCCACUCAAACCUAAAAAAUACUAUAGGGCCGGCUAUCCCAUUCAAAACCUAGUCCAUUACCUUUUUUCUACUUUUUCCCAUCAUUUCUUCCCUUUUAUUAGCCAAUCAAUAUCAUAAAUACUAAAAUAUUUCCUUUCAUAUUUAAUUAGCCAAUUAAUUGGCUAAUUAAACCUAAAAUUCCCACCUAGUAGCCGGCCACAUUUCCUCCCUUUUGUUCCUUACCUUUUUGACUUUCUCCAUCUUAUUACCCAAAUAAAGCUAAUCAUUCAAUUUGAUAACCCCCAUUUAUUUCUAUCAUAUUUUAUUAGCCAAUAAAGUGGCUAAUUAAACCACAAAUUCACCAAAAACAUGGACAAAGUGGCCGGCCAUUUCUUUGGAAAAUGGACCAACUUAGUCCUAUAAAUAUUCACCCAUUUCUACCAAACACUAAUUUCCAAAUCUCUUGCAAAAAUUCCAAAACACUCUAAACACUAUUUCUCUCUAAAAUUCUAACUUUGGCAUCGGAGGUUCUUUGGCCAAAGCCCCCCCCAUUCAUCGUGGGCGCGUGAGGCUUUUGGCCUUAACCUAAGGUGCUAGUUGUUUUGUAGGUGCAAAAUCGUCCAAGAUCGAAGAGGUGAAAAUUUGCAUCCACAGAGGAGAGACCCGAUUUCACCCUAAGCUCGUUUUGGCUAAUUUAUUUUCAGCCGUUCAAAUGAAAUCCAACGGUUUACAUUGCUCCUCAUAUAUGGUCCGCAAGCAGCGAUCCGCCUAAGAGAAGUUGGGAAUCCCUCUUACUUUCGGAGCACAUCAUGGUUUUGGUAGUGAAUUAAACCAAAACAUGUAUUGUGGCCCUAAGGGUAGUUUUUUAAAUAAACCAAGUGAAGCUGAAUAUUAAAAUAAGCAAGUUCAAAACCAUAAUUAGUAAAUUCGUGUACAAUAUAUCUACAAGUAUUUCUUUAAAAUACUUCGUUUAAUUUAACAUGUCUAUUCGUUCAAUUACACUUUUUAAAAACUCCAGUGUAUGGUACACAUAUUAUAGACAUUCAUACAUAUUAAUCACUUUUAAAACACGUUAUUUUCACACAUUUUUUCAAUAAUACAUGUAAAAAUCACACUAUUCUACCUAUGUUUUUAGCAUAUUAUUAAAGAAAUAAAAACACAUUAUUUUUUUAAUAAAUUAAAUUAAAUUUUAUAAAGAUGACUGAAUUUUUCAAUAUAUUAUUUUAGCAAAAUUAUCAGAAAAUACGAUCACGUAUUCUUCAUGUAUUAUACUAGUUUCGUAUUACGUAACAAGUGAAAUAACCGAAAGAAUAGUUCAAAAUUGUUUGUUUGGUCUUUGAAAUGUGGAUGUUAUCUGACUUACAUUACGAAGAAAGAGAGAAAUAAAUGAUGGUUGAUCAGAGUCCAAUUGCAUCCAAAUCAUAUUCUUAGUGGUUGAACUUGGUAUGGUGUAGAGAUUAGGUUGACUUCUAUGCCGUUUGGAACUCAGUCGAACUUCUCCAUUGUUUUUCGUCUCUAGCAGGCGUUCGAAACUCAGUCGACUUUCAACCGCGCAUUCGAAACUCAGGCGAACUUUGUUCGAAAUUGGUUCUAAAUUUGUCAUGUUGGUUCAAUAGAAAGGACGUCGUACUUGCUUCUUCCAAGUCGAGAUCGAAAGUCCUUGCUUCCACAAAUAAACUGUGUCAUACGUCCCCUAAAAUCACGUUGAAAUUUGAUGAGUUUUAAAAUUUGGAACCCCAGAAGUCAAGUUUGUUAUUUGUGUUAAAUUUGUUAAAUGAAUUCAGUAUUCAUGGUUAAUUAUGUAUGGUCAUUGAUAAAAUUGGUGGAAAUUUGUGGAAUUGUGGGGAAAUGUUGGUUCGAUGUAGGCUUAUGAAUUCUUGCUAAGAGGUUGUGUAGAGGGUUUAUAUUGUUGAAUUUGAUUAUGUUGAAGUUAUAUUGUUGACUUGUGUUGAUGAAAGCUUAUUUAAUUUUAUGGAUUAACUUAAGUUUCCUAAAUUUAAUAUGCAUCGUUCACAGUUAAUGUAUUAUUAUGAAAACUGAUUGACAGGUUGUGUCCGUAGAGGGAAGAGGAUUAUCUCCCUUCCUAAUCUUUCUUCCCUUCUUCCUUUUUCUUUCCUCCUAUUUGAACAAUUACGGUUUAGCUACGUCAACAUCUUAUAUUGAUUAUUUUAUAAAGACAAUAAGAUAAAAAAUAAUAUGUGAAAAGAGAGGAGAAAAGAAAAAAGGAUAAGAAUAGAAGGAGAUGGAAUCAUAUUCUCCCUCACACAAGAAUGGGACAUUUUCAGACCUAACUUCACCGCCUCCAACCAUUGACAAUAUCAAUCGUUACAUUGGCUCCCCGCGUUAAAAGCGUGAUCACGAAAAGCGUGUUGCACCGAAAAGAACACUUGGAGACGUGUCAGAUUUGUCGGCCACAAAACCUUUGUCCUACCUAGAAAGACAGAGAAAAUGUGAUCUGCCCAUGCUUUUCUUGGGGAAAAUAUGACUGGAUUUUAUUAUAUUUCCACCAACCCCACUAUGAUAUCAUCAUACAAUAAGGUACGUGUGGAACUGGAACAAAGAAAAAAAAAAGCGUUAAUUUUAAUUUACUAUCUUAAAAAAAUUUUAUUUUCAAUAAAUGACACAUGAAGUUUUUUUCAUUUCAGAAUGAUACAUAAAAUUAUCAUUUUGGAAUACUUUCAUACAUCUGCUAAGGUUGUUAAAUUUGCCAUUAACUAAUAACGUGAUAUCCACGUGAACAAAGACUAGACGUCGUAGGGAUAUUAAAAAAAAAAAAAAAAACUAAAUUAAUAAAAUAAUAAAAACUAAAAAAUUUAAAAUAAAAAAAAAUAUUUGGGCGUCUUUCUCCACACCCCUUCCGACCCCUCCCUUCUCUCCUUUGCACCCAUCCUUCCCCCUCCCUCUUCGACUCCACCCACUCCAUUUCUCUCUCUCCCCCUCCCAGCGCACUGCUCCGUCCUAAUUCAAAUUGCAAACCCUAAUCUCCCCAAUUCCCCUCUCCGAUUCAUCCAUUUCCAAUGGCCUCCGAUGGCCCCGACGAGCCCUGCAACUCCGAGACCGAACCGGAAUUCCAUUUUGGGUAAAUUCGACGGCCAAAGAAGAACCACUUUUCUUCUUUCGUAAUUGUUCUAUCAAGCAUGUCUCAACUAAAGGUAUGCCAAUGCUUCCUUGGUAGGCUUUGGAUCUUCCUCGUCCUCUUCAUACUCUUCGCCAUCCUCAUAUUCGUCGCCCUACUGACCAUAAUCCUAUCCCAAAAAGUUGUCAAACUAAUUUUCUCCAAAAAAUAAUAGAUUUCAAUAUCGAAAAUUUACAUCCAAUAAAAAACAGAUAGAUGAAGACUGAAAAUUUGCUUACAUCUCUAUCAUAUCGCCGCAUUUCCCUCUCGAACUGAACGCAAAGUACCUGAAAAAUCACAACAACUAAAAGAAAAACCCUAAUUUUUAUUAUGUUGAACUGAAACAACUAUUCAAAAUCUGCAAUUUUCAUCAAAUCAAACAAUUACAACCAAAACCCAUAUAGGCUCUGUUCGAUUCCAUGGAUUUAGCAUUGCAUUUGUGCCCUAAUUUUGAAAUUGGCCAUUCCAAUGCCAAAUCCACACUCCGGAUGCAUAAAUUUUAUUCCCAAUUAUGAAAUUCCAAUCCCAAAUCUCCUUAAACUAGAACGAAACUACUCACCUGAAAUUCCUUUCAAGCCCUAGGUAUCGAAAACCAAGUCUGAUUGAAGACAAAUGGAUACGAUGCGAUCAGAAUUCUCGAAGAGAGAAUCUGCAAGCCCUAAUUUGUACGGCUUUGGAUUCGACCGGUUACUAUGAAACGGAGAGUCUAAUUUUUUUUUUUUUUUUUUUUAAUAUCCACGGACGUUUAGUCAUUGUUCACGUGAAUGUCACGUCAUCAGUUAACGGUAAACUUAACAGCAAUUUUAAUGGAUGUAUGAAAGUGUUCCAAAAUUAUAAUUUUAUGUACCAGUCUGGAAUAAAAAAAAAAUUUCAUUACCAAAUGUUGAAAAACAAGAAACUUUAGGAUAAUAAACUGAGAUUAACCAAAAAAAAAAGAUACGUGUAGAAGUAGUCCACCAAGAUCCUCUUCGAAUUUCUUUGAUGGGGAUUUUUAGAAUUCGUGAAUCGUGUUCGUUCAUCGUACAUUGUGCGAUCAGUUUUUGUUAGGCAUUGUUUGUGUUUAAUUUUAAAUAAAAAUAGUUAAAAUGAUUUCUGACCAUAAAACAUAAGAUGAAUUGACAUGAUUCACGGAUCUCUGAUAUCCUCACACAAAGGAUCUGGAUUCGGAAGUAGUGAUUUAUAUCUUGGGUGUAGCGUGAAUUUCUCUGAAGUGUACAGAUAUCGAAGAUUUUUAAUUGACACGAUUAUUAACCGCUGACGAAUAACUUUUGAAUGAGUAAUCAGAUGAAAUAUGGGUAAACAUGACAUCAUAGGAAAUUCAUAAUCUAUACAUUGUAAUAGUUCGAUGGAAGUUGGCUCAAUAAAAAUUUAAGAGAAUCAACAGUGGAGUACAAAUUUAGAAAAAAAUCGACAAUAUAUUGUUUUGCUUAUGGUGCUCUCUUCAGUUAAGAAUAUAGUGAUAUUGAAUAAUAUUUAUCAUUAAGAAGAGUAAUGCUAAAAACACCCCACAAAUGUUUUUCAAUCCUAUCAAAUGUGUAAAUGUAAUGUUUUGUGUCAAAAUCUUUCAUAUAUUACUUGAAACUAGUUUGGGACUGCUUAAAAAUUUUUUAUAAACGAGGGUGGAAGAGAAAUUAGGCUAUAAUUUUGUGUUUGUUAACUAUUGAUGCAUAAAAUCAAGUUGACUUUGGAACAAAAUAAAAUGUCAAGGUGGGACCUCCGCAAGGUCGCUACACCAAGUGUAGGUAAUAUGUAAAGAGAUAGAGAAAGGAAAUCAAACACAAGAUACACGUAGUUCAUCCUAAGUUGGGUUACAUCCACGAGAGUAAAGGAGUCCUCAUUAAUAAUAUAGAGUCUACGUAAUACAAAAGUCCAAACAUAAUCGUCACUAGUAAGUUCUAAUAAUGGGUUAAGUGGAAUAAUGUCAUUACGAGUUAAUCAUAGGAGAACUUUUAUAGUUGAGGAGAGUUGCACGCUUUGUCCGCCGUCGAUACGGAACUUCAAGAGUUUUAUUCUGAUGUUGACACGUAUCACGUUGUGAUUGACCUUUCUGGUUGGAGAGAAACUCUUGAGCUUCAACAGGGGUGCCUCAACACCUUCAUAAGACCUCCGAAAUUAUAAUGUUGACUAGGCCUGGCAAACUGGUCCUGCUUGUCGUGUUCUUGUCGUUUUCAUGUAACACCCGUUAUUUUAACGGGUCAUGUCGUGUCACACUCGUUAUCUUAACGAGUCCUUAACAGGUUGGGUCAUUUUAUCUAGUAUUGUAAAUAUUUUAAAUUGAAGAUCAAAUUCAUUCAUUAUAUUCAUAUAGGGUCAAGGAGUGUAGCUGUAAAAAAAUCAUCAAAAUCGGAGUUAAAAUAACUGUUAAAUUGUGAUUUUUCAUUGAUAACCGUCGAAAAUUUUUGUCCCAUUACUUGAUCUCUAAAUGUUUGUUUUUUGCAAUUUAUGGCGUAUGCGAUCUCGAAGUAUAUACAAACAUGUUUGACGGUUGGAUUGUUGAAACUAGUUUUGUAGAAUGCGUAUCCUAUCAAAACAAUAGAUUCGCUAACACUUAAGAGUUUAUUCAUACUUUCAUUAAGUAUAACAUAAGAUUUUGUGGUAUCUACUAGUGUAAAUAUUUUAAAUUGAAGAUCGAGUUCAUUCAUUGUAUUCAUAUAGGGUCAAGGAGUGUAGUUGAAAAAAUCAUCAAAAUCAGUGUUAAAAUAAUCAUUAAAUCCUGAUUUUUCGUUGAUAAUAAUUGAAAAGUUUUGUUCAUUACUUGAUCUAUAAAUAUUUGUUUUUUUACGAUUUUUUGCUGAUGCGAUCUUGAAGCAUAUACAAACAAGUAUGACGGUUUAAUCGUUGAAAUUAGUUUCGUAGAAUUCGUAUCCCAUCAAGUUCAAUGAUAUAUAUAUUUAUUAAGUAUAUUUAAAUUUAUUUAUUUUGUACGUAUAAUACUUAAUAAAUUGAAUGGUAUCUAUAUAUAUAAAGUGAGCAUCCCAGUUUGGUGAAGCAUUCCAAAAUACCAAAAAGAUCCCUAUGUUUCCUUCACAAUCAAAAUCCAAAAAAUCCAAAAAAGGAGGACAAAUUGGUAAAAAAAAAGAAAAAACUGAAUAAAAAAAUUGUAUUAGAAAACAAAAUAAAUAACUAAAUAAAGAAAAAAGAAAACAGAAUUUUAAACCAAUACACGAAGAAGGCACAUGGGGAAUAGAUUGGAAACUGCUAUGCGUCUUAACCAGGAACCGUUUUGCGGAAUGAGAGAUAAACGUGAACGUGCAGAGUGGGGUUGAGGAGGAAAAGAAACACCUAACCAUACAAAAAGAAGCAGUUUUGCUGGAUGAGAGAUGUAUAGAAGGACACAAAGUAAGAACCUAAAAAGAAAAAACUGAAACAGUUUUGCUAGGAAGAGAAGAUGAUACAAAAGCCAUUGCUUGCUCAUAAAUUUGAAGAGAAUUACAGGUUUGCUCUUCUUUAAUUCCAUGCAGUUGUUGGAUCACCACACUCUUUUCAUUCUUUCUGUUUUUUUUUUUUCAAUGGAUCACACAAUUGGGUUCUAAGAUUAGCAUACAGUUAUGUUUUCUUAUCUUGCAAAUUUAUGAACAAGGAUUGGGUAUUUCUCUCUGGUGAUUCUGUGGGUGAAGCCAGUUUCCUUUCUCCACUUUUUACUGAUUUAUCAUCUAUGCCAUAUAAUUGUUUGGGAGUUUAUUGGAAUUUAAUUCAAUUCCUCUGUGUUUCAUUUUUCUUUACCACACUACCCACUUUCGAUUGAAAUCAAAUUCGUAUGGUUAGAUUUUUCGGGGAUAACCUUUUCUCUUCGUUCCCUGCUCUAUAUUUUGUUUUAAUUGUCUCCUUUCUUUCUUUCUCUUUUUAUGUUUCAGAUAGUAACUAUGGGUCCUCUAUACAGAAUGAAAGUUAUCCAGAUAAACAUGGAGAAGGGAAGUGACUACUUGAUUUACAUGGCAACUGGAAGCGGCAAGUCCAAUAUUUGGUUUGUUUGACAUUUUAUAUUUUGUCCUUGGAGACUUGGUGCAAGGAAUUGCUCAGACGGAGAAGUUAUUUAUAGGAGGAGAUUUAAAUGGACACGUGGGCAGGGAGACAGGCAACUAUGGAGGUUUUCAUGGUGGCCAUGGUUUUGGGGAGAGAAACGAGGAUGGGGAAGCUAUCUUGGAUUUUGCAAUGGCAUAUGAUCUCUUCUUAGCCAACACCUUCUUUAAGAAGAGAGAAGAACAUGUGAUCACCUACAAGAGUGGGUCGUCAAAAACACAAAUAGAUUUUCUUCUAAUGAGGAAAGGGGAUCAUAUAACUUGUAAGGAUUGCAAAGUUAUACCAGGAGAGAGCGUGACUAAUCAACAUCGCUUGUUGGUGAUGGAUGUACAUAUCAAAAGAGUGAGAAAAAAGAACAAGACUUGGAAGUGCCCAAGGAUUAGAUGGUGGAAUCUAUUUCAAAGAGAAAGUAAUCACCCAGUGUGUGUGGGAUAGAGAGGGGGAAGCUAACCAAAUGUGGGAUUCCAUGGCUAGUUGUAUCCGAAAAGUAGCAAAAGAGGUAUUAGGAGAGUCCAAGGGCUUUGCCCCACACCAAAAGGAAUCUUGGUGGUGGAAUGAGGAGGUACAAGCAAAGGUGAAGGCUAAGAAGGAAUGUUGUAAAGCCUUAUACAAGGAUAGGACCGAUGAAAAUGGUGAAAGGUAUAGAAAAGCGAAGCAAGAGGCGAAGAAAGCUGUGAGAGAAGCUAAGUUAGCGGCUUAUGACGAUAUGUAUAAGCGACUAGAUACCAAAGAAGGAGAGUUGGAUAUCUAUAAACUAGCUAGAGCAAGGGAAAAGAAGACAAAGGACCUAAACCAAGUGAGGUGCAUCAAGGAUGAGGAUGGAAAGGUUCUUGCUACAGAGAACGAGGUUAAAGACAGAUGGAAAGGUUAUUUUCAUAAUCUUUUCAAUGAAGGACAUGAAAGGAAUGCUUCUUUAGGGGAGUUGAGUAACUCAGAAGAGUGUAGAAACUACUCUUUUUAUCGUAGAAUCCGGAAGGAAGAAGUGGGUGUAGCUUUGAAGAAGAUGAAGCAUAGAAAAGCAGUAGACCCAGACGAUAUACCAAUCGAAGUGUGGAAAGUUUUGGGAGAGACAGGUAUAACAUGGCUCACUGACCUUUUCAAUAGGAUUUUGAAAACGAAGAAGAUGCCGAAUGAGUGGCGAAUGAGCACUUUGGUGCCUAUCUACAAGAAUAAGGGCGAUGUACAAAAUUGCAUGAACUAUAGGGGAAUUAAGCUAAUGAGUCAUACAAUGAAGCUCUGGGAGAGAGUCAUUGAGCAUAGAUUGAGGCAAGAGACAUGGGUUUCGGACAACCAAUUCGGGUUCAUGCCAGGGCGCUCAACCAUGGAGGCAAUCUAUCUCUUACGAAGAUUGAUGGAAAGAUAUAGAGAUGGGAAAAAGGAUUUACACAUGGUCUUUAUAGAUUUGGAAAAAGCGUAUGAUAGGGUCCCAAGAGACAUUCUUUGGAGGAUUUUAGAGAAGAAAGGAGUACGAGUAGCAUAUAUCCAAGCUAUACAGGAUAUGUAUGAAGGAGCAAAGACUGCCGUAAGAACUCAUGAAGGACAAACCGAAAGCUUUCCCAUAACUGUAGGAUUACAUCAAGGCUCAUCCUUAAGUCCUUACCUUUUUGCGUUGGUAAUGGAUGAGUUAACAGGACAUAUUCAAGGUGAUAUUCCUUGGUGUAUGCUUUUCGCAGACGAUAUAGUGUUGAUAGAUGAAACUCAGGAAGGGGUAAAUGCAAAGCUUAACCUUUGGAGAGAAGUGUUGGAAUCUAAAGGUCUUCGCCUAUGCCGAUCAAAGACAGAAUAUAUGGAGUGCAAGUUCAGUGCAAAUGGAGGCCAAAACGAGUUAGGGGUGAGGAUCGGAGAUCAAGAAAUACCAAAGAGCGACCGUUUUCGUUACCUAGGAUCUAUCUUGCAAAAGAACGGAGAAUUAGAUGGAGAUCUCAACCAUAGAAUACAAGCUGGAUGGAUGAAGUGGAAGAGUGCAUCCGGCGUGUUGUGUGACCGCCUUAUGCCACUGAAGCUCAAGGGAAAAUUUUAUAGGACGGCAAUAAGGCCGGCGAUGCUGUAUGGCACAGAAUGUUGGGCGGUGAAGCAUCAACACGUACACAAAAUGGGUGUAGCGGAGAUGAGGAUGCUUCGUUGGAUGUGUGGGCACACGAGAAAGGAUAAGAUUAGGAAUGAGGAUAUCCGGGGUAAAGUAGGAGUAGCCGAAAUUGAAGGAAAGAUGAGAGAAAAUCGGUUACGGUGGUUUGGACAUGUGCAAAGAAGGCCUACUGACGCUCCGAUUAGAAGAUGCGACUAUGGGACAGAGGUUCAGGGCCGAAGGGGCAGAGGAAGACCUAGGAAAACUUUGGAAGAGACCCUAAGAAAAGACUUAGAGUACUUGGAUCUAACGGAGGACAUGACACAGGACAGAACACAAUGGCGUUCUAAGAUUCAUAUAGCCGAUCCCACUCAGUGACUUGGAUUUUCCAAGUCUCCAACCGAGAAGUUUUCCUCACUCGGGAAAUUAAGGGAACACUACCUCAACCUAUAUGCUCCACUCACAAAGCUUCAACAUACAAGCUUCAACAAAAGAAAAUUCAAAGAACUUAGCGAAGAAGGCUUUGGUGUAUUUAACACAAUACGUUGAAAUGAAGGAAAGCUUAUUUAUUGAUAUCCCUGAUAAGUUACAAAUAUGUACAUAUACUUGAGUCAAAAUAAACAAACAAGAGGGAGCCUUCACAAAGGUUGCUUAGGAGAAGUCUCAGCAGUCGGUAGAGCCCCAGAAAGAGAAGGCACCGGAGGGGGAUCAUUCGGAGCCUCAGUACUGGACAAAACCCUAGAAGGAGGAGGCAUCAGAGGAUUGAUCAUUUGGAGCUUCAUUACGCGGUACAGCCCCAGAAGACGAAGGCAAUAAAUGCCUUUGGAACAAAACCCACAAAUCUCUGAUGAUCAAGUAAAACCUGACCAUCAGAUUCCUUCAUCUGGUCAAGCUUCCUCUUCAUGUUUGUAGCAUAGUCAUGUGCGAGCCGGUGCAACUGUUUAUUCUCAUGCUUGAGCCCUCUAAUCUCCUGUUUGAGACUCAUCACUUCAGCCGCCAAUGAUUCAACUUGGCGGGUUCGAGCAAAUAGGCGUUGGGCCAUAUUAGACACAGAACCUGCACACUGAACACUGAGAGCCAGAGAAUCCUUAACAGACAACUCAUCAGACCGUUUGGAAAGUAGUCUGUUAUCUUUGGGAGUGAGAAGGUUCCUGGCCACUACCGCAGCGGUCAUAUCAUUCUUCAUCACGGAAUCCCCAACGGUAAGAGGACCAGUAGGGGAGACGAAGGAUGGGCGCCAUAUGUUGUCUGGAGAAGGCGGGGCUGCCUCUUCAACAAGGUUCAAGUCAAAACGACGGUCGGAGGGGCCAGACAUUUUCAAAGGUGUUGAAGAGAGAAGAGGUCGGACAAAUCAAGAUCUUAGAAGUGCAAGAAUGGAGCUUCUACUGGUGGAUAUUCAAGUGUGCUUUGGAACUUAAUGUCAGCCCCUAUAAAAAUCUGCACUCGACGAAGCUUCAGAAAUCGAAGAGCGCGCUGCUCAGAAAUCGAAGAGGCGUUUGCUUUCUCAAAAGCUGGGCUGCUCAGAGACCACGAGGGUCGAUCUCAGAAAUCGAAGAGGCGUUUGCUUUCUCAAAAGCUGGGCUGCUCAAAGACCACGAAGGCCGAUCUCAGAAAUCGAAGAGGCUUGCUUUCUCAAAAGCUGGGCUGCUCAGAGACCACGAGGGCCGAUUCUCAGAAAUCGAAGAGGCACCUACUUUUUCCAGCCUUGUCAGCACCUGUCACACGCACACUCAGCUUUGCGGAAAUUAUGGGCAUUCUGUCGAAGAUUUCUGGCGAAGUAGAAAGCACAUGAAUCGUACUGUUCAAUCACCCACUUCCCACACGCAACAGUAGCUCAUGGGUACCACAGAUAACUUUGCCAAAGUUCUCUGACAAAGUUGAGACACGUGAAGCUUGCAGCUCCCACUACAUCGCUCUGACCAAGAAGGGUAAAAGAAUUGCAAAGAAACAACACUAACAAAGUUUAGACACAUAAAUUUUGAAGGUCUAGCUACCAUAUUAUUACCCACAAGGGUAAAGGAACAGUACCACUGCUGGAUAAUUGGAAAGUCCCGGUGUGUCAACCUCUGUGCUUCGUGGCAAGGUAGACUAGCAAACAUGCCCAACCUUUACUCACAUUCGAGAAAACACUCCCAACAAGAUUGCUUGCUCCAAAAUCGAAGAGGCACCGGCCCUCCGAAUCUCGAGAGCCAGACUCCCAACAUGAUUACUUUCUCAAAAAUCGAAGAGACACCGCUCUCCGAAUCUCGAGAGCCAGACCCCCAGCAGGAUUGCUUUCUCAAAAAUCGAAGAGGCAUCGUUCUCCGAAUCUCGAGAGCCGAAGAGGACCCCCGACAGGUCUGUAAUCUUCACACGCAACAUCAGCUUUCCAGAUACCACAGACCACUUUUUCAAAGUGCUCUGACAGAGUUAAAACAUGUGAAGCUGGCAGCUCCCACUACCGUGCUAUGACCAAGCAGGGUAAAGGAAUAGCAUUAUUACUUGAUGUUAGGGAGACUCCUAUAUAUGUCGACCUUCCAUCCCUAACGGACAGGCAGACCUGCAAAAAUGCUCAACCCUUUCUCUUAUCUGAGAGGGCACUCCCAACGAAGCCUUUCGAAAUAUUCAGCUUUCUUUCCCCCCGAUAAUACCUCUGUAAACAAGCUAUACUAGAGCAAGAAUAUCUCAUAUCAUCAGGGUUAAAAGCAAGAGUAUCCCAUAUCAUGCUUUUUCCCUGUCUUUUCCUUUGGCCUUGUUCUUACCUGCAAGACAAGGAGAAAGAGAGCAAUCAGUCAGCACUUGGAAUCAAGCUUCCAGCCAGGAACUGACUGCCUGGAACCCCUUACCUGAUUACUUACCUGGCAUUGCUCUCGAGUACUCAUCUUCAACAUCUUAUGCUUCCAGGGAAGAUACCGCAUCUGCCUGAGGAACAGAUAGGGCAAGUGAGAAGGAUACAAGGAAGCAUGUGGAGACAAGCGUAACAGCACACGUGCCGAUACAUCCACUACUCUGUCAAAAGCAAAAGUAUCCCAUAUCAGCAGGGUCGAACGUACUCUAGAUUUGAUGGACUUGUUUUGACCCUCAAAUUCUUCAGUCGGCCUUAUACUCUGGAGGAAACCAGAAAACCCUCCAGCCCAGUUCAAGAAUAAGCCUGUGGAAAGUUACUUCUUCAAAAGCAAAAGUAUCCCAUAUCAUCUCUUCCUCAUUUUUCUUCUCUUUAUCCUUCAUGCUGCCUGCAAGAUAGGGAGAAUGUGAACAAUCAGCCGGAGCUCUGAUUGCUUACCUUGUCUGUCACCUCUUUCAGCAGAUCCCCCUAGCUCGGCGACUUGGGGGACUCCUACUACAUGGUUUGUAUCGCGCUUGACCAAGCCAUGAAACUACAAGUAAGCUUCAAGUGAAAUUGAUACAUUACCUUGUGCAUCUCCACCAGUUACAGAUACCACCCCUGGAUGGAGGAAGAGUACUUCCAGAGAAGAUGCCACAUCUACCUAUGAGACAGAUAAGGCAAGUCAAGACGAUACCACACUCCGGUACUUAGAAGUUUCGUGGUUACGAGAUCAUUCUCCCACAAUAUUUCCUAAUGUCAUUUGUACUAAAUCAUUCACUUGUACUCACUAAAGGAGAGCUUGAACCUAUGUACUUGUGUAAACCCUUCACAAUUAAUGAGAACUCCUCUAUUCCGUGGACGUAGCCAAUCUGGGUGAACCACGUACAUCUUGUGUUUGCUUUCCUAUCUCUAUCCAUUUAUAUACUUAUCCACACUAAUGACCGGAGCAAUCUAGCGAAGAUCACAAAAAGUGACCGUUUUCGCUACCUAGGAUCUAUCUUGCAAGAGAACGGAGAAUUAGAUGGAGAUCUCAACCAUAGAAUACAAGCUGGAUGGAUGAAGUGUAAGAGUGCAUCCGGCGUGUUGUGUGACCGUCGUAGGCCACUGAAGCUCAAGGGAAAAUUUUAUAGGACGGCAAUAAGGCCAGCGAUGUUGUAUGGCACAGAAUGUUGGGCGGUGAAGCAUCAACACGUACACAAAAUGGGUGUAGCGGAGAUGAGGAUGCUUCGUGGGAUGUAUGGGCACACGAGAAAGGAUAAGAUUGGGAAUGAGGAUAUCCGAGGUAAAGUAGGAGUAGCCAAAAUUGAAGGAAAUAUGAGAGAAAAUCGGUUCCGGUGGUUUGGACAUGUGCAAAGAAGGCCUACUGACGCUCCGGUUCGAAAAUGUGACUACGGGACAGAGGUUCGGGGCCGAAGGAGUAGAGGAAGACCUAGGAAAACUUUGGAAGAGACCCUAAGAAAAGACUUGAGUACUUGGAUCUAACGGAGGACAUGACACAAAUGAGCGCAAUGGCGUUCUAGGAUUCAUAUAGCCGACCCCACUUAAUGGGAAAAGGCUUUGUUGUUGUUGUUGUUGUUGUUGUUGUGUAUAGUUUAAUGAAAUGCCUGAGAAAAACCAUCAUGAUCAUGAUGCUUGGUAAACAAUUUGUACUACAAAAAAUUUUGACAAACGAAAUCCUGCUCUUUGCAUUCCUUUUUUUAUAGAGAACUUCUUUGCAUGGUUGGCUGCUUUUUCUAACUCUUUUGGUUAGAUGAGUUGUACUCGCUUUACUCUUUGUAGAUAUAACAUGAAAUUAGACAUACGCUUUAUGCAUGUAUAAGUAAAAACUUAAAAAUUAUCGUUUUUAUAGCUUAAUGUGGUUGUUCCUACUUUUUUAGGUUCCUUUGUGGUUCCGAUGAAUUAAAGUUUUAGAACAAACACCAGCUAAAAUUUAUUACAUAGCUUUUUGCCUUUUAACUGGUGCUUCGGUUGAACCUGAUGCAGGAUUUCUUGCACUCUGUCAUGAUCAGAACCUCACCUUCAAUUGAGUAUGCCUACAUGCCAUUUGACAACACUCCAGUUGUUAUUGAACCAUUUAAUAUGAGCAUAUUAUGCAGCUGUAGGACAAGUUGCUUCUAAUAGAGAAGGUUUUAACGGCUAAUGGAGAUACCGAGAAGAUGUGAUUGAACAAAGAUAAAGUGCCCAACAAUAUUGUUGUCUUGCCUAUUGUUUUGAAGAGAGCACAAGAGUGUCUUUCAAAUAUUGACAAAUUAGACUCUCAAAACAGAAUCAUAUGUUAGGACAUGCUAAUACAUGUUUUUUAAUCUAUCAAGAUAAAGAGUAAUAUUUUUUUUAGUUUUAUUCUUGGCGUGUGUUAAAUAUGACAAAUGUGUAAUACGCCCGUUGUGCGCAUGUUUAAUAAAGCCUCUCACACGCAGUAUAUAGCCAAUUAAAAGAGAACUGAAUGUAUUUAUAAAUCAAAUAAAAUAGAAAUGGAGAAAAAAGAAUACAACAAAUGGAGGACAUGUAGAACACAAAAAAACCUAUAUUAAAUAAGGCAACAUAAAUAGUUCAUUGCCCUACAAGUCAUAGUUUGGCUAAUAAAAUUAAGAACAACGUCUGAUUUAGUUUUUUUUUUUUGGUCGAAAUGUCCGAAUUGGUUUAACACGUCUCAUUUUGAUAAUUCAUGUGCCCUUGGUUUGAUAGCAUUUGGAUUUAAGCGUUGAUAGAAAGUAUCUCAUUCCAGUCAUCAAGUCAUCUUUUAACUUUGAUUUUGUUAAUUUUUGUCUAUAGGUACACAAAAAUAUGCAGAUUUUGCUUUCAAAUUUGAAUUUGCUACAAAUUGAGAGGCUUAAGGACAAUCUAUGUUCAAAGAAAAAUAAGUUGGACAAAGAGAGGACAUGGAUAUGGAAUAUGAUUGGUUGCUAUAUUACUUUGGGACGAGUUUUGAUAUUUUUUAGAGAUUGAUUGUUUAGUUUGUUCUCUAACACUAUUAUUUGGUUCUAACUGUAUUUCUUCCUUUAUUUAUUACUAAUUUCCAAGAAAGUGCUUUUGUGAGUGUAAGGAGACUUUCUUUUAUUCCGCAUUUUGCUCGCGACUUAAUUUGUUUUUCUUUUCUUUUAUUUGUAACCGUAUGUUGCAUUUUAUUUUUAUUUUGUUUACCCUUGACAAAUGAUCAAAACAAAUAUUUUCAUACAAACAUAUCUCCCGAGACGGAUUUUGAGGAGUGUUUUUCAUUACGAAUCUGAGUGUUGAGACCUAAAAAUGUCACAUGCAAAUGCCUCAUGCCAAGCCCAAGUACAUGCAAAAGUGCAGAAUCGAGAAAAGAAUACAUUCACAAUUAUACCACACUACGGUAAUUAAGCCGGAUAUUUAUAAAGAAACACUUAAGAAUUAAGGAAAUAAAUAAAGCAACACAUUUCGAGGGGCGCGUCCUGUGAUAAAAAAAAUAGGAACUUUAACGAAAAGCACCUGAUACUGUUCACUUUAACGAAAAACCACAUUUUUACACUAAAAAGUCAAUCAUGGUACUAUUCACUUUACCCUUUAUUUUGUCCUUAUCAUUAAAACUCAAAGUUUUCAAGCCAUUUUCAUUAGUUUUCCUUAAAAAAAAUGCCUCUCGCAUGCGUGUGAGCACAUGCAGAGAGGCUAGUGUAUAUUUAAGAGGAUCCAAUGGUCACCAAUUUUUAAUAUUUAAUUUAAUAUAUAUAUAAUUAUUAUAGAUUUUAGGGAUAUAAAAUUGUUAAAUUAAUAUAUAUAAUUAUUAUAGUAUUUUUUUAGGAUUAUAAAAUUAUUAAAUUAAUAUUUUACUUAUCGUAUAUCGUGUUACUCACGUAUAUACAUGAAACAAUCCGUUAUCUUAACAUGUGCCUAUCGUAUUGUGUUAUCAGGUUGUGUCAAUAAUUACCAGGCCUAAUGGGUACCGGUGCUUGGUACUUUUGGAUUGGUGAUUUAUGGUAUAAACAGUAACUACAGAAAAACGUGCUUUUUUUGGGUCAAAAUCACGUAUCAUCAAAACAAAAAAAGAGGAAGCAGCUCAAAGCUGCUCUGAAAAACCAGCUUUUUCACAAAAUGCAGGUGAACGGUAUCUUUAAUGAAAUUUUUUGUGGCAAUCUUAUUCACCCUCUCCAUCAUCCCUUUCUGUGCAUUAAACAUGAGAACAUAGAGAUUAGAGAGAUGAAUCUAUAGAGGGAAAGAAUAUUUACCGAAUUCAUUGCCCCCUUAAUUUGCGAUUUGGGUGCCGAUGUUUGUGUCCUGGGUUGGAGGAUUGAACGAAUCAGAUGAGCAGACGAGAAGCAAUAGGUUGGAGCACAGAUCUUGUUGUGUUCCCUUUGUUCAUGGUGGCGGCGAGGAGGGUGGAGGAAAGGAAGGGUGGGCUGGGCUGUUUGGUUUGGCGGCUGUGUUUUUAGUGAUCAUGGUUUGCUGGUAGAGAAGCCGCGGCGAGCAUUUUAAGUUCUUUUGGAAUUCAAAAAAAGUUUCACUAAAAUACUUUCAAACAGUUUAAAAAACAAGUUUAGGUGACUUUAGUACCAAGAGCAUCUCUUACAUACUUCAACUUCAAACUCUAAAAUUUGAAUAAGUGACAGACCCUGAUAAUAUUUAUACUAUCAAAAGUUUUCUACUCAACCAGUUUCUAUAUGUAAAACUUUAAAACUUUAUUUUGUGCGAUUUUGUAAUGGAACUUGAUUCAUUAGGCCAUUCAAAAGAAACUGAAUACAACAUAAGAAAUUGGCCAUUUUCAAAUUCAAUAUAUGUCCAAAUGAUCACAAUCACUAUUUAGGGUCAGCACCAUGAUCCCUUUUGCAGAGAAUUACGAGAAGUGAUUUUCUAAUACGAAAUGUUUUAUUACACUCAACACCAAAACAAUAUCUCCGGUAGUUGGGUGCCAAUGUGUCCACAAACAAAUAAAAGCUGCUGCAAAUAUUAGAAAAACAAAUUCCGACCAACAAACUUUUGCAAUACAUACCUAACUUCCAUCUUAACUUGGUGUUCUUCAUUGGAUAGAAAUCCUCCUUCCUCUCUUCUCAGCUCGAAAAUCAUCCAUCCUUGGUAACCAAAUUAAGAUGACCAAUUUUCCUACCACCAUCAUCGGAUUCGCCAUUUCUAAGAUAGUAACCUGUUCCGCUGUCUGCCAUACCAAUGAAUCUCCAAAAUUACGAUCCAAUGGGCGGAAUCACCCUCAUAUAUAACCGGUGCGUACAAUAAAUAUUUUUAUAAUUCAAGAGAUUGUUCUGCAGUUCUACUAGUUGUUUAUAUUCGCUCACUAAGCCAAGAGGUUCACCCUGUUGUCCGGAUCACUGGUGCCACCAUCACCACGAGCAACUUGCCUUUCCUUUUCGAGCAGUUUAUUGGCUUUUCUCCACUUGUGGAAUUUACCAAACAAGACCUCCAUGUCUUCAAGGGUUCUGCCUUGUGUUUCCGGGAGCAUUGUGAAAAAGAAGAUCCAACCAACAGCGCCAAUUGCCGCAUAAAGGAAGAAGGCACCACCCAUUGUGAUGGCCUUAUACAACGAAAUGAAGGUCAUUGAGAGGACGCCACUCAUCACCCUAUUCACGGCCACUCCCAUACCACACCCUUGAGCCCGCAGCCUCAAUGGGAAGAUCUCAGAGCUGUAGACCCAGGCAAUGGGCCCAAUCCCAGUCGAGAAGAACCCGACAAAGGCUAAU